AUAUUUAAUUUGGUUCUUAGAAACUCCUAGAUUCUUUUGAGAUUCAAUGAAAUUUUCAAAGGCAUGUUUCAAUCUCGAGUGUGCCCUCCAAGUUUUGUGAUUGGGAUGUCGAGGAUCACAAAACAAGGUGUGAAGUAACCAUGCAAAUUACUUGGUACCCUUAAUAAAUUACCCCUCAAUCGAUGUGCCAGUUAACCACACACGCUCCAUCGAUACUAUGAUAAAUAUUAAGGUGUUGUUUGGUUUUUCUGAGGCAAAAUGUAUGCAGUCUGCGGACCACAUCUGUAGACCUCUGCAGUAGAAGAGGUGGACCAAACAUCUGCAGUCUGAAAAAAGAAGAUUGUUUGUUUUUUUAACAUCUGCGGGCUACUAAAAUAAACUGAAAUCUAAAUAAACUUAUUUUUUUAAACUUUAAAGUGAUUUUUUAAUAUUUUUAUGAUUUUGUUAUAAAUAAUUAACGAAUCUAGAUCAACUUUUAUGUAUUAUUGUAUAAAAAAUAAAAUUAAAAAUGGUAUGAAUUAGCAUAUAUAUUUGAUAAAAACCAACAACUUUGGNGUUAAAAAGCAACAACUUUGGUUGCAAAGUUAUAACUAAACAUUAUAAUUAGUGAUCAAAGAAUUUGACAUAUAAAUUGAUGGAAAUAAACUUCGAUUUUUUCAAUUAAACCCAUUAAAAACGUACCAUAAAUAUUUUCUCGAGAAAUUGACAAUAUUGUAUUAAAUAAUGUUUUACAAAAUUUGGCAAAAAAAUAUAAGAAUAUAUUAUGAUUUUUUUUUCAUAUUUAUAUAAACAAAUUUAACGACUAUUAUUGUAAUAAAUCUUUAUUUAUAAAUUUGUCAAAAAUAUCAUGUUUGUAUCGUCAAAAGUUAUUUAUUUAUUUAUUUUUUUUUAAAGUUUUGUAGUUUUUUUUCAAAUUGUUAACAUUAAUAAAGUUGGAAAAAAUAUAAGUUAAAAAAAUAAACUUGAAAAAAAUAAAGAUAUAUAUGUUUUUUUAGGCUAGAAGAUGUCUGAACAUGUUAGAAGACUUUGGUCCACAUCUGCGCCAAGAAGAGGGCGUGCAGCAUUGUUAGGUCUGCAGUCUUCCGAAAAACAAACAGACUGCGAAUGCUAAUAUCUGCGCGUGGUCUGCGCGGCGCAGACAGAAGAGGCCUCGCAGAUCUGCAGACAAAAAACAAACACUGCCUAAGUCACCCUUUACUUACCUUGUUAAGUCCAAUUUAGUGUGCCGGUUAACCACACACGCUCCACUAACGACUUAGACAAAGUGUAAAGUGUAAUUUCAUGGAUUAGCACCUUAUUAACAUUUUUCCUAAAGUAACUAAGAUUGGGAAUUUAAUAAAACAUUUAGUUACUUUAUAGUAUUCAUCAUACUUUUAAUGAGUAUUUAUAAGUCCUUGUCUUACCCGUUCGGCUAACGACCCUCCACCAGUCAAGCAAGCGGUGGGUGAGAGUGGACACCCAUUAAGUUGCCAUUUUAUAGGCAACAACCUUAUACCCACCUUAUAGACCGGCUUCGUGAAUGAGGCGUACUAGCGGUAAGACGACUUUAAUCUUAUACAUAUAUAUAUUAUUAUUAACUUAUAAUAUUAUAAGUAUAAGGGUUGAAUUUUAACUUUUAAAAUUCUAAGGGUUGGAACUAAAGUUUUAAUCAAGACUUUACUUGUUCCAAAACUUGAGGGCAAGUUUUGUAAACUUUCAAAACUUUUCAUUUCUUGUAACUUAUGAGUUUAUUAGGGUAUUAAAAAUGAAGACUCUUCAUUUUUAUAACCCAUGUGUUCUUUUAAUGGUUUUAAAGCAAAGUGACUUUUGGUUUUCCAUAACUUGAGGACAAGUUAUGGACUCCAUUAAAACACAUAAUGAUCAUGAAUUAAUCUACCACAUAGGUUACAAAUAAUUCCUAUGAUCAUCUAAACAUCAUAAGAUCAAGAACAUGAAUAUGAACACUUUCAUGAAUCAAAAAUUACAUUUAAAACUUUGUAAUUUUGAUAACUUGUUGUUGUAAAUGGAUUAGCAAAGACAUUACACCAUCUAAAACAGGUUUUCAAGUACCAAAACAGUUUAGGGUAAUGUUUCUAGUCCAUUUCCAGCAACUAAAGUCGAAAACCUGCAAUCUGAGGCUCCUACUCGCCGAGUGCAUGAACCUACUCGGCGAGUAGGUUGAAGAUUCACAUGAACUUGGCGAGUCCCCCCAUGGACUCGGCGAGUUCAUCAGUCAGAUUGCAAAAAUAUCGAUUUUUUCAACUAUUUAGCACAAAUAGAAAACAAACAAGCCUAGCCUCUGAUACCACUGUUGGGUUUUCAGCAUUCUAACACUUCCUAAGUGUACAUGCAACCCUAAUUAUCAUGCAAAGUUGAUUUCCAAGGCUAUGAUCCUAUCUAGCAUACAUGGGGAGCAAUUUUAACUUGAAUAAUAGAUAGAACUACAUACCUUGUUGUCGUAAGUGUUCCGUGAAACCUUGUGAGCCUAACACCUCAAGUGUGAUGCCUCAAAUGCUUCACACAACACCAAAUGCAAAGUAUAAACUUGUGAGAAUACUCUAACACACUCAAAAUCGGCCAAGCCCUCUUGUUUCUCUAGUGUACCCGAUUUUGGGGAGAGACAUGGUCCUUAUAUAGUGUGUUGCAUUAGCUAAAACCCUAAUGUAACAUGACUCUUCAUUUCUCAAUCCAUGGGUUAACUCCAUGGAGCAUCCUAUGGGUGGAACCCAACUUGAUAAUCCAUGGAGCCUUUUAGCCCACUAUAUAAGAUAUGGAGGAUUUACAUAAUCUAUCCAUAUAUUUAAUUAGUUAUUCUUUUGAUCACUUAAUUAAUUCUAAAUUAAUUCUUGAUCAAAACUAAUUAUAUAAUAUUAUUAAUAUAUUAGAACUUAUAAUAUAUUAAUAAACCAUAUGUGUUAUUUCUCUCAUUUAGUUUAUCCAAUUGCAUGGUACCAUGCAACCCAAAUGGACCAUGCCGGGUCGGGUCAAGUAUUUACCACAAAUAGUUAUGGACUUAGACACCUUAUCCAACACUAUCCGCAAAAAAUCAUUACCAUCAAACAUAUCUUUGGAUUCGGAUGAUGAACUCAUAGAGAACAUUGACAUUAGAACCGAUUCAAGGAUUAUCACUCUCCCAUCCGCAGUCCAGGGGGAACCUUCUCAGGUUCCAGAGGAACACCCUGCAGCAAUCCAGGGGGAACCUUUCCAAACUGCUCAAGAAAAUCCAUUUUUGUUCCAACAAGCCAAGAUGUUCUCAAAUCCAGGGGGAACUACCAUCUCCAACCGAAGAAACUUCUGAUAUUGAAGACAUUCCCUCUACCGCAGCUUCUGAUCAUCUAAUACCUCAUCUACACGUAUGGACGAAGGACCACCUACCAAGUCAAAUUAUUGGCAACCCAUCUGCAGGUAUCCAUACUCGAUCUUCUAAGGACAUAUCUGGUCAUUGUCACUACGCAACAUUUAUGUCCUCUGUUGAGCCACGAUCGAUCAAAGAAGCAUUAUUGGAACCUGAAUGGAUAUCCGCAAUGCAAGAAGAAGUGGAAGAAUUCAAAAAGAACAAGGGAUGGCAACUUGUUCCCAUACCACAAGGCCACGCUAUUGUUGGUACAAGAUGGGUGUUCAAGAACAAGUUAGAUGAAUAUGGUGCGGUCAUCAGAAAUAAGGCAAGACUAGUUGCAAAGGGCUACAGUCAACUUGAAGGGGUUGACUACGAUGAAACGUAUGCUCCGGUGGCACGAAUGGAAGCCAUAUGAAUCUUCUUAGCAUACGCAACCCACAAAAACAUAAAGGUAUACCAAAUGGAUGUUAAGAGUGCUUUUCUCAAUGGUGAAUUAAAAGAAGAGGUUUAUCUUCAGCAACCUCCAGGCUUUGAAAGUAUUGAAUUCCCUGACCACUGCUACAAGCUUGAAAAGGUAGUCUACAGUCUGAAGCAAACCCUAAUAGCUUGUUAUGAGAUUCUUUCUGAAUUUCUAGUCUCUUCAGGAUACAAAAGUGGAGUGAUUGAUCCCACUUUAUUUAGAUAAGAAAAUGGUGACCAUCUAAUGCUUGUACAAAUAUAUUUAGAUGAUAUCAUCUUCGGAUCGUCUGAUCAAGGAAUGGUGGAUGAAUUUGCUAACUCAUGACCAACAAAUUCCAAAUGAGCAUGAAUAGAGAGAUUAAUUUCUUUCUAGUUCUUCAAGUGAAACAAAUUCAGCAAGGGAUAUUCAUUCAUCAAUAGAAAUACACCACUGAACUAUUGAAGAAGUAUUCUAUGGACAACUGUUCCUCGGCUAAGGUCCCCAUGGCCUUCGGAAAUUAGAUAUCUGCUGAUCCCUCUGGCAAAUCUGUGGAUCACAAGACUUAUAGAGGUAUCAUUGGCUCUUUAAUGUACCUCACAACAAGCUGACCAGACAUUGUCUUUGCAACUGGUAUAUGUGUAGGGUAUCAGGCUGACCCAAAAGUGUCAUAUAUGACCGUAGCCAAAUAGAUUCUUCGGUACCUAAAAGGAAUCAAAUCUCUUGGUCUAUGGAUCCUGCAGGCAAUGACUUCACUCUUCAGGCAUUACAGAUACGGAUCAUGCCGAAUGCAAACUUGAUCGAAAAAGAACCUUAGGUGGAUGUCAAUUUCUGGGAGGAAGACUCGUCAGCUGGUCCUCAAGAAAACAAAGUUGUGUAUCAUUGUCUACCGCAAAAGCCGAAUAUGUAGCAAAAGCCAGCUGUUGCUCUCAAGUUCUAUGGAUGAAGACACAAUUGUUAGAGUACGGAUACAGAAUGUUGCGGAUACCAAUCUACUAUGACUCUGAAAGUGCCAUAGGGAUUUCUCAUAAUCCUAUUCAGCAAUCCAAGACGAAGCAUAUUGAACUAUGGUAUCACUUCAUCAAAGACCACAUUCUGAAAGGUAACAUUGAACUUAUCUUUGUCCCUACUCAUGAAGAGACUGCUGAUGUAUUUACAAAGGCACUUGACUCUACCAAACUCAACGCGUUGUUACAAAUGUUAGGAAUGAUGAAUCCGGACCCUCAAUUCUUCUUGAAUUGAUAGGCACCGCAGACCAUCCUUGGUCUCCAUUGCGGUCCUAACUGAAAGUUAUUUAUAAUAAAUGGUUUUGGUAUAUCCUGUGUACCGUAGUCUAUGUACCGCAACCAUAUAUUAUAUUUAUCCUUCACUGUUCCGUCUUGUUUGUUAUUACUAACUUAUUGUACAAGUUUUCUUCUCAGUUUCUUUCACUACAGUCAAAUAUCAACUCAUCUGCGAUAGCAAAGGAUCCAUCUGCAAUGAUGUGUCCAUCCGCGGUCACAUUAAUUGAUUUUCACAUUGUUCAUUCUUUUGAAAAACAAAUAAAAAACAUGGUGUGAUAUUUAAUGAUCCUUCAUUAAAUAAAGCAUUAAAUAAAAACAUUCCUUGAGAAACUGUCACAUUUUUUUCUCAAAACCUCGUGUUAGAUCUAUUUUAGGUAUGAUGACAAAAAGAAAGAUUUUACAAAUCAAAUCCAUUUAAUAUGUCUUUUCCUAUUACCCUAAAACAUCACAUCCGUUACAACUUCGCUUUAGCCAACGGAUUGAUCUUACCCUCACCACACGUUCACCAUACGUGGUAUCAAAUCUGAGAUUUCAUUAAAUGCAAACCCUUUUUGGUAAACCCUAAAUUUAGAUUUAAUCCCUAUUUUAUCAAUAUGUGGGUGAGAUUAAAGACCCGAAUUCAAAAGAAAGACCCAAAAGUUUUCACCAAAAUUCACUUAGGGCAAAAAUGUUUCCCGCUCCCUUAAGCCACUAUAAAACAUCUUUCUUCUCCACAAAGAAAAGGUUACGCUCUCUAAACCUUAAACCUUUUCUUGCAUUCUACCUUUGUUCAUCAAAACUUCCUCAAACUCUCAACAAUGGUGAAAUCCAAUGUAUUGAAGAAACAAUCCAAGGCAUUUGGAUCAGUGAACCCUACUGGUUCAGACUCUCCCACGAUUGCUUCAAGCAAUUUCACAGCCGUCUUUGAAGAACACCCUUUCUACAAUGCUCCCACGAAACUAAUGAUCAAGUUCCUGAAGAAUCACCCCCUCUUUGGCCCCUUCGAUGCUUUCAUAGAUGUUGUCCCAAUCUCAACACUCUUCAAAUGUGCCUUCUCAGCCUAUCGCCCACUCGAUAACCCACAAGAAGUUCAUCUUAACCUAAUUAAGGAUUCAUUGGUCAUUCUGUCCAAAGAAAAGUUUCUUACUGCCAUUAACCACCUUGUUCAUCCCUCCAUAAAGAUUUUCACUCCAUCAAUGGCAGACAUUACCUAUGCGCUUUACCAAAUGGGAUAUCAGAAUAGGAUUAAAGGCAUUGGGGAAUUCAAGAGGAACCAACUGCCUGCGGUCUGGCAAUUCGUUUGCCAUUUCUUUAUGCGCAGUCUAUCCGACAUAACCGAAGGCACUGACAAAAUGGGACUUAUACUUCUAGAACUGGUGUGGAGUAUCUUCACACGUCAUGACGUGAACUACGGACAGAUCCUGUGGGAUGACUUCCUUCAAUACAUUCCCAAGGAAAGCUCAAGGGAAAACCCAACCGAACUCACUUUUGCAAGGUUCUGGUCCCUCUGCAUUUCAGACUUUCAUGCGGACACAAUGAUCGACAUGAGUGAGGACAUCAGCUUCUAUGUCACCAAGGAUCUCAAAAGGUACAAUCCUUCAUCUGAUAAAUCAAUUUUUGGACCAAUCCGAAGACUUCCUACCUAUAUUCUUUCUACCCUUAGUCUUGAGACUGUUGAUGUCAUAGAUCACAUUGAGGCUACGGAAGGUAUUGACCCAUACCUUCCUACCCUGCCUCUUCAAAAUCCACCCGCAAUCAUUAACCCAGAAGGUAACGCAGUCCCUUCUUCCACUACUCUCUCCAACAUUUCUCAAUCCCAAAGACGCAAGAAUAAAGUCUCUGCUCUUCAUGGCCCCCACAACACCAAGAAACAAGGAACUCCUAAAAAGGAUGCUUCCAAACCUUCCAAGCCCUCCAUGAAAAGAAAGAUUCCACUAGUAAUCACUAUCAUCAAACCAAGCAGACAUGAAUCCAGCAAUGACUCAGACGAGGAUGAUCAACCCAUUUCAAUCCUCAAGAAAUGCAAAACCGAUCCCACUAGCCAUAUACGUGACCGGCCUAAUACCUCAGCCUCUCAACAGGCUUUAGAAGUCCUUGGGAUGGCCGCACAUCCAUUUGAAACAUCCAUCUUCUACCACUCAAACUCAGAAAGUUAGUCUCAUUCACCACAACGAGGAGUCUCCCCCCAGUUCAAUCCCAAGAGGAUAAUACUGGUUCUCACCCUAAAGUCUCCAGGGCUUCCCGACUACAUUUCAUUUCUCCUAAGCAGUUAUACUCUUUCCUCUUGAACGUCACCCAUACACUGCAAACACCUUCCCAACCGCAGGGCACUUCUUCUGCCCAUGCCAGAACUAAGCCGAGGCCAAACUUGACUACUGGUCAAGGAGACCAUGGAAGCUCAGGAAAUCCAAAUCUUUUUACAUCUGUAAUAGGUGGUUUAGGCAUGAUGAGAACAAAUGUGCGAGGAUCCGUGGACCCGAAGGACAAUUCGGUGCGAUACAAAGGAUUUGACAGUGAAGACUCUAAUGAUUCUUGGUUGAACUACAAUCCGGUAACAGAAGCCGACAUUCAGAAAUAUGUCGUUUUUCGUAGGGCAUUCCAAGCACGCAAAGAUCAACAAGUCAAGCAACAGCAGCAAAAGGAACAAUAAAUUCAAGUUGUGGCUAAGUAUUGGGUAGAUGCAAUCAAUAAUGCCAAUGGCGUAGCCACCAUUUUGAAAGUUCAAGACUGGAUGUAUGAGAUGGUCGAAACCUCCCGCAAGGCUCAGGAAGCAACUGCUGAUCAAAAUGCUUCCAAAGUUCCUCCUACUCCCACUGUCCAAGAAUCACAAGACGAAGGAACUGCAAUAGAAGUGAGCUCUGCUCCCACCUUCAGAUUUGAUGAUGCUGAUCUGCAAGACGUAAGCAAACCCUCUCCCUCUGAUGAUGAUCUUAUGAUGUUUGAUGAAGAAGAAGAAUCUAGUGGCUGUCAUCAUUCAAAUUCAAAGCCCAAAAAUAAGAAAAAAAAAGAAGAAGAAGAAGGAUUUUGUCAUUAGGAAAGAACUUUUGAGCCUACAGGCAAAGGUUGAUCAAAUCCUUGCUGCGGUCAAGCCAACUCAACCACAACCAGUAGAUAUCCCCGGACCGCAGUCAUUGAUCGAACGAAUAGAAUGCUUGGAAACUCGUGAGAGAUUAGCUGCUGAGCGUAUCUCCCUCAAAGUAGAAACGGGGAUGCGCUCCCUUGAAAACAAUAGAAAAGCAGAUCACAAGGACUUCAUGGCUACUGCGGAACGCCUCAUCUAUGAGGUUACCGCAAUCAAGAAAGAUCUUGAAGCAGCCAUUGCAGAUCAAGCCUCCCAAUCUCAAAAGUUGAUUACUGAGACUCACACUGACUAUGAGUCCACGAUCUCAUUCCUUCAAGCUACAAUCAACUGCCUGAAGCGAUCCUUGUCCACAAAUUUCCAUGGUCCCUAAAUCCUUCAACUCACCAAGGAAAUUCACCAGCUACUCUUCAACCCCACCAUCCCCAACAAUCAACAACUGUCAGAUGCCUUCAAAGCUCAAUUUCAAGAAGUCUUUGCCAAAGCUGAUGGCCUUCGUCAAUGGCAUGAGGAGACUCCGGGUCUGAAUUCCUCAAGAGGGGGAUGUGAAGAAGAAGUCCAUCUCUCCAAUCACUCUAUCUCACAACAUCAAACUCCCCCAUCUCUACAGAAAAUAUUCCUACACUGCAACCUUCACCGCAAUCAUCACAUCAUACUCCACCUCAUAAAUCUCCUCCGCAAGAGGAAAACACUCUUGAGAAACCAGAGACUCCCCUCACUUCAAAAAUCUUACGGAGUACAUGUCCUCUCUGAGCUCAAACGACUCUCCUGUAACGAAGAAAAAGAAAGCUGACUGGAAAGCAGUUAAACUUGCGAAGCUUAUAUGGAGAAAAUGUGGUCUUGACACUGUGAUGGAUGAAUCCCUAAUAAACUCUUGGAUCAAUCCUCACCACAGGCUUCUUGAUGACAUCUCUUUUCUAUCUCUCUUACACACACUUCUUACUCUCAUAAUCGAUUACAAUCUCUCUUCGGAGCAAGUCCAUUGUGACUUAAUCACUAAUUUUGAUCUCACUUAGUAGCUUGGCUUGAAUGCACUACUUGUUAUAAGUCAGCUUAUGUGUAUACUUGAUAUAACAAUUGUUGUCAUUUCCAUUUUUUUUACUUUUCUGCAACUAACUCUCUAACCAUCUAACUCUAAAUAUUAUUGUUCAGCUUUUAGAUCCUUCGAGAUUAACUAUUCCAAAAUAUACUUGCUCUAACAUUUGUUCAAGUGUGUCUCAACAUUUUUCUCUCAACAACCUUCCUUUUUAACUUCUGCCUCCCCUACUUUGGCACCCUUUUUGUUACCAUGUUCGUGUAGUUUCUUGGCUAGUCUUUUUUCAUAGUCAUAUGUGGUCGGGUUUUCUGCUAUCACAAUCCCUUGGAUUGGCAUGGUCAAUCCCCAGAUAAAUAUUUCUAUCUUCUUCCCUUCAUAUGUGAUCAUUCCUGGACCCAAGAGAGACAACUCACUAAACCUUGAUAUGUAAGCAUCGAUGUUAGAGUUUUGAACUGUGAGGUGCUACAACUCUUGCUCCAUUUUCUAAAUUUCUCCCCUUGGACAGUACUCGGCCAACAACAUUUCCUUAAGCUCCUCCUGUGGCAUAGCGUUGCCACCGGGAGUGUCAUGUCCUCCACGUGACCAUUCCACCAAGAGAGAGCUUGAUCGAAGAAUGUACAGGACGCAAACUUCACCUUGCACUCCUCCGGACAUCCGUAGAUCUCAAACACUGAUUCCACCUUUUCUAUCCAUCUUUUUAGGGUUAUUUUGCCUCCCGUCCCGAUGAAGGUUUGAGGCUUAGCGUUUGUGAAGUCCUUGUAGGCACAGGUUCUUUUGGGUUCCGUGAUCUAUUCCUUGAUUUGUGGUUCUGGUUCCUUGUCUAUUACCUCCAUCGUUGUUUCCGUUGUAAAUUUGUGACAGUGCUGUAGUGACCACAGCUGAUACUGCGGCUUGGAAUGCGGAUGAGUUUAUUUUUGGUGGCGUCGGUAUGAUGACAAAAAGAAAGAUUUUCCAAAUUAAAUCCUUUUCAUAUGUCUUUUCCUACUACCCUAAAACAUCACAUCUGUUACAACUUCCCCUUUACCCAACGGAUUGAUCUCACCCUCACCAGACGUUCACCAGACGUGGUACCAAAUCUGACAUUUAAUUAAAUGCAAACCCUUUUUGGUAAACCCCAAAUUUAGAUUUAAUCCCUCUUUUAUCAAUACGUGGCUGAUAUUAAAGACCCUAAUUCAAAAGAAAAACCCAAACCUUUUCAACCAAAUUCACUUAGGGCAAAAACGUUUCCCGCUCCCUUAAGCCACUAUAAAACCUCUUUCUUCUCCACAAAGAAAAUUUUAUGCUCUCUAAACCUUAAACCUUUUCUUGCAUUCUACCUUUCUUUUUCAAACCUACCUCAAACUCUCAACAAUGGUGAAAUCCAAUGUAUUGAAGAAACAAUCCAAGGCAUCUGGAUCAGUGAACCCUACUGGUUCAGACUCUCCCACGAUCGCUUCAAGCAAUUUCAGAGCCGUGUUUGAAGAACACCCUUUCUAAAAUGCUCCCACGAAACUAAUGAUCAAGUUCCUGAAGAAUCACCCCCUGUUUGGCCCCUUCGAUGCUUUCACAGAUGUUGUCCCUAUCUCAAGCCUCUUUAAAUGUGUCUUCUCAGCCUAUCGCCCACUCAAUAACCCACAAGAAGUUCAUCUUAACCUGAUUAAUGAUUCUUUUGUCAUUUUGUCCAAAGAAAAAUUUAUUACUGCCAUUAACCUCCUUGUUCAUCCCUCUAUCAAGAUUUUCACCCCAUCAAUGGCGAAAAUUACCUCUGCCCUUAACCAAAUGGGAUAUCAGAAAAGGACUAAAGGGAUUUGGGAAUUCAAGAAAACCUAACUACCUACGGUCUGGCAAUUCGUUUGCCAUUUCGUCAUCCGCAGUCUAUCCAGCAAAAACGAAGGUACUGACAAUAUGGGACUUUAACUUCUAGAGCUGGUGUGGAGUAUCUUCACAGGUCAUGACGUGAACUACGGACAGAUCCUAUGGGAUGACUUCCUUCAACACAUUCCCAUUGAGAGCCCAAGAGAGAACCCAACCGAACUCACUUUUGCAAGGUUCUGGUCCUACUGCAUUUCAGAGCUUCAUGCGGACGCAGGGAUCGACAUGGGCAGCGACAUCAACUUCUUUGUCACCAAGGAUCUCAAAAGGUACAAUCCUUCAUCUGAUCAAUCAAUUUUUGGACGAAUCCGAAUACUUCCUCCCCACAUUCUUUAUAUCCUCAAUCUUGAGACUGCUGAUGUCUCAGAUCACAUUAAGGCUACGGAAGGUAUUGACCCAUACCUUCCUACCCCACCUCUUCAAAAUCCACCCGCAAUCAUUAACCCAAAAGGCACCGCAAUACCUUCUUCCACUACUUUCUCCAACAUUUCUCAAUCCCAAAGACGCAAGCAUAAAGUCUCUACUCUUCAUGGCCCCCGCAACACCAAGAAACAAGGAACUCCUAAAAAGGAUGCUUCCAAACCUUCCAAGCCCUCCAAGAAAAGAAAGACUCCACCAGUAACCACUGUCAUCAAACCAAGCAAACAUGACUCCAGUAGUGACUCAUACGAGGAUGAUCAACCCAUUUCAAUCCUCAAGAAAAGCAAAACUAAUCCUAGUAGCCAUAUGCGUGACUGUACUGAUUCCCCAGCCUCUCAACAAGCUCUGGUAGUCCUUGGGAUGGCCGCACAUCCAUUUGAAACAACCAUCUUCUACCACUCAAACUCAGAAAGUGAGUCUAAUUCACCACAACGAGGAGUCUCCCCCCAGUUGAAUCCCAAGAGGAUGAUACUGGUUCUCACCCUAAAGUCUCCAGGGCUUCCCGACUGCAUUUCUUUUCUCUUGAGGACCUGAACUCCAUCCUCCUGAACGUCACCCAUUCACUGCAAACACCUUCCCAACCGUAGGGCACUUUUUCCACCCAUGCCAGAACUAAGCCGAGGCCAAACUUGACUACGGGUCAAGGAGACCAAGGAAGCUCAAGAAACCUACUCUUCUUACAUCUGUAACAGGUGGUUUAGGCAUGAUGAGAACAAAUGUGCAAGGAUCCGUGGAACCAAAGGACACUUCGGUGCAAUACAAAGGAUUUGACAGUGAAGACUAUAAUUAUUCUUGGUUGAACUACAAUCCGGUAACAAAAGCCGACAUUCAGAAAUAUGCCGCUUUCCGUAGGGAAUUCCAAGCACACAAAGAUCAACAAGCCAAGCAAUAGCAGCAAAAGGAACAAGAAAUUCAAGUUGUGACUAAGUAUUGGGCAGAUGCAAUUAAUAAUGCUAAUACCGUAGCCACCAUUUUGAAAGUUCAAGACUGGAUGUGUGAGAUGGUCGAAACCUUCCGCAAGGCUCAGGAAGCAACUGCUGAUCAAAAUGCAUCCAAAGUUCCUCCCACUCCCACUGUUCAAGAAUCACAAUAUGAAGGAACCGCAAUAGAAGUGAGCUCUUCUCCCACCCUCUGAUGAUGAUCUUAUGAAGUUUGAUGAAGAAGAAGAAUCCAGUGGCUCUCAUUAUUCAACUUCAAAGCCCACAGAGAAGAAGAAAAAGAAGAAGAAUGCUAUCACUAGGAAUGAAUUUUUGAGCCUACAAGCAAAGGUUGAUCAAAUCCUUUGCUGCGGUCAAGCCAACUCAACCACAACCAGAAGAUAUCCCCGGACCGCAGUCAUUGAUCGAACGAAUAGAACGCUUGGAAACACAUGAGAGAUUGGAUGUUGAGUGUAUCUCCCUCAAAGUAGAAAUGGGGAUCCGGUCCCUUGAUAACAAUAGACAAGAAGAUCACAAGGACUUCAUGGCUACUGCGGAACGCCUCAUCUCUGAGGUAACCGCAAUCAAGAAAGAUCUUCAAGCAGCCGUUGCGGAUCAACCCUCCCAAUCUCAAAACCUGAUUGCUAAGACUCACACUGCCUAUGAGUCCACGAUCUCAGUCCUUCAAGCUACAAUCAACCGCCUGCAGCGAUCCUUGUCCACAAAUUUCCAUGGUCCCGAAAUCCUUCAACUCACCAAGGAAAUUCACCGGCUACUCUUCAACCUCACCAUCCCCAACAAUCAAAAACUAGUAGAUGCCCUCAAAGCUCAAUUUCAAGAAGUCUUUGCCAAAGUUGAUGCCCUUCAUCAUUGGCUUGAGGAGACUCCGGGUCUGAACUCCUCAAGAGGUGGAAGUGAAGAAGAAGUCCAUGACUCCAAUCACUCUAUCUCACAACAUCAAACUCCCCCCAUCUAUACAGAAAAAAUUCCUACACCGGAACCUUCACCGCAAUCAUCUCAUUAGACUCCACCUCAUAGCUCUCCACCACAAGAGGAAAACACUCCUAAGAAACCAGAGACUCCCCCUCACUUCAAAAAUCUUGUGGAGUACAUGUCCUCUCUGAGCUCAAACGACUCUCCUAUAAUGAAGUAAAAGAAAUCUGACUCGAAAGCAGCUAAACUUGGGGAGCUUAUAUGGAGAGAAUGCGGUUUUGACACUGUGAUGGAUGAAUCCCUAAUAAACUCCUGGAUCAAUCCUCACUGCAUGCUCCUUGAUGAAGAUUACAGGCCUCACCUCACCUAUGUUGAACCCCCUUCGGAUGGCUAUUAGGAUGUCCCAAUCUCUCCGAAUGCCAGAUACUUCACAGUAUUUGAGCAAUUCGACCGCAACCUUCCAGACCUCAAAAGACUGCCAAUGGAAUUUGAGAGACUUAGUCUUUUUUAUGCUAAGCAUGCCUCUCCCAUUGAGAAUAUAUGGUCUAACGAUAGACCAUCCGUAGUCAAGAACUACAAGAUUCGGAAGUUCAAGAAGGCUGAUUUCAUCCAGUACACUCUGACUAGAAGGGAACACGACUAUGUCCGCACCCAGGAUGACUUCCCCUAUAUGAAUCUGGAAGAAGUCUUUCUCAUUGCAAAGGUGUUCCAACACAAGUCGGAGAAGCACCCGAAGAUGAAGAUUGCGCUUGAAAGGGCUAAUAAUUCUUGAACGAAACAAUUUUUGAUUUUGCUAAAAUCGACGCUGACAUCUACCCCACCAUUGCCAAGAAAUUCGAUCUGCCACCACUUAACCCCGCACCAAUGCCUACCGAAGGCAAUGAAGGAAGAUCCUUAGGUGCAACCAGCUAACCUGAACUUGGAGUCAUUUUCAAAAGGAAGAUCGACAAUGUCAAAUACUUCAUUCCUAUGUCUGCCAUGCAUCGCUACACCAGGAAGCAACUUGAUAUCUACCGAAACGCAGUUGAGAAAUUGAAGCACGCUACUACAAAAGUCAAGUUCGAAAUCUUAAGGAGAAUCAUCUCGCUAGAAAACAUCAAGAAGUUUUGGUGGAUCCUGAUCAAGUUUCUUAAUAUUGAUAGCUGAUCAAAAGUUCAAGAGUUCACUUAGAGGAAAAUUGUUGAAUCAUAAAAGUGACCCUCUUGAACUUCAGCUACCGCAGCCGUCAAGCCACCACAUUAAAGCUCUUUUAUCAACAACCACAUCCACAGUCUCUACCUACAACAGUCUUUUAUUAUAAUACUCUCUAUUGUCCAGUAUGCCUUGCAUGGCUACUCUUAGAGAUUUAAUCUAGUGUACUUCAUGAGUCUCUAUAAAUAGAGCUCAUUCUCUUGUAUUCAAAAAAAAACUUACACAUCUAUUCUGAAUUACCAUUACUGAAGUUAUCUUUUCUAUCUCUCUUACUCACACUUCUUACUCUCAUAAUCGAUUACAAUCUCUCUUCGGAGCAAAUAUUUUGUGACUUAAUCACUAAGUUUGAUCUCACUUAGUAACUUUGCUUGAAUGAAUUCCUAAUUAUGAAUCAGCUUAUGUGUAUACUUGAUAUAACAAUUGUUUUCAUUUCCAUUUCUUUACUUUUCCGCAACUAACUCUCUAACUAUCUAACUCUAAAUAUUAUUGUUGAGAUUUUAGAUCCUUCGAGAUUAACUAUUCCAAAAUAUACUUGUUCGAACGUUUGUUCAAGUGUGUCUCAAAGUUUUUCUCUCAACAACCUUCCUUUUUAACUUCCGCCUCCCCUACUUUGGCACCCUUUUUGUUACCAUGUUCAUGUAGUUUCUUGCCUAGUCUUUUUUCAUUGUCAUACGUGGUCGGGUUUGCUGCUAUCACAUUCCCUUGGAUUGGCACGGUCAAUCCCCAGAUAAAUAUUUCAAUCUUCUUCCCUUCAGAUGUGAUCAUUCAUGGACACAAGAGAGACAACUCACUAAACCUUGAUAUGUAAGCAUCGAUAUCAGAGUUUUGAACUAUUAGGUUCCACAACUCUUGCUCUAUUUUCUGAAUUUCUCCCCAUGGACAGUACUCGGCCAACAACAUUUCCUUAAGCUUCUCCUGUAGCAUAGCGUUGCCACCGGGAGUGUCAUGGCCUCCACAUGACCAUUGCACCAAGAGAGAGCUUGAUCGAAGAAUGUAUAGGACGGAAACUUCACCUUGCACUCCUCCGGACAUUCGCAGAUCUCAAACACUGAUUCCACCUUUUCUAUCCAUCUUUUCAGGGUUGUUAUGCCUCCCGUCCCGUUGAAGGUUUGAGGCUUCGCAUUUGUGAAGUCCUUAUAGGUACAGGUUCUUUUGGGUUUCAUGAUCUGUUCCCUGAUUUGUGCUUCUCGUUCCUUGUCUGUUAUCUCCACCGUUGUUUCCGUUGUGAAUCUAUGCCAGUGCUGCAGUGACUGCAGCUGAUACUGCCGCUUGGAAUGCGGCUGAGUUUAUUUUUGGUGGCGUCGGUGUCGUGUUGUUUUGUGGUUUGGUCUUUGAGGCGUCUUUAUGUCAUGGAACGGAAAGAUGUUGAGUAUCCAAUGUAUCUUGUUUCACGAUUUCUUGAUUAUAGCACCAUGUCACUGAUUUCGUUGUGUGUAAGUUAGUGAAUGCAUACAAUCAAGAUGUAGUGAAGGUAAUAGAACGCAUAGCAGAUAAUAACAUCAUCAUAAAAUAUAUAGCCUUUUUCAUUAAUGAAUAUCUUUUGAGUACAUGAAAAUUUUCCUACAUAAGGCAUACAAUACAUGCAGUGAAAUAAAAUUCGACAGAGUAACGACUCCAUGAGUAGGGCAGUCACUUAAUCAUGUAGUCGAUAUAUAUAGGGUAGUACAUAAAAGAAAACCAUAACGGUGGUACGUGAAUGGGUACUAGUUGCGACGGGUCGGGUUAGAUGGUGCUGAAGAAGAGGUAGAUGCGCCUUGAAGUCAAGCCAGGUAGUGCUCAGCGGCGCGAAGCCGGGCUUCCAAUGUUGUCUGGCGCGCCUGGUAGUCCCUUACUACCUCAUGUGUCAUCCUAUCUGCGUGCUCAAUUGCAGCUAUCAAGGCGACCAUCUGACUAGUGGUUGCCUACGCCUUCUCUCCGGUAUCCUGUGUCCUCCUUACUAGCAUAGGCAAGGCUCAAUCGGCGGUUCCAUCAUGACACAAGUCGUAGUAGUCCCGGUUCCUACCAAAUAAGGGUCGCACCCCUUGUUGGCAGCUGCAUCUCCAACUGUCGUCUACCCAUGGGGUCGUAGAGCCGUUCGUGCCCAUCCUAUAUGGGGGCACCCUGGCCAUGUACGGCGUAUUCAUGACUUUGGACCCCUUGUCUGAUUCAUCUGCGUCUUUGUCCUCUGCCUCCUCUUCGUAUGAGUCGGUUACCAUUUCUGUCGGUCCCUCCAUUCGCUCCUCUUCAGGCUCUUCUUCUGGUUCAUCCUUGGGUUGUUCCUCGAGUUCUAACCAUCCGCCAUUUCCCUGAUUGAGAAAAUAGGGAUCUUCAAGGUGAUGAAUUUCGGCAAUCGUGUCUGCACGAAAGGGGUGAGAGACGUUGUAAAAAGAGUAUGCAUAUAGUAUUUCCAAAAAUACUCUUAUAGUAUUUUUAUUAUUUAAGUUUUAGUUCCUUAGAAGUUUUGGAUACGAGGUAAGCUUCUAGACCCAUUUGCCCCAUGAUUACUCCCAAACACAUGUUGGUCAUAUUUUUGAAUAAAUAUAGUUGAUCAGGCUGUAUUUAUCCCCAAUAUGACUACAUAACUUUCUGGGUUUAAUAACAGUGUUCAAUUUCCUCCAGAGACUUUUAGUGUUAUAGUUUUUUAAUGUAUACCUAGGUAUCAUUUUAUUCAGAGUGUUUUCGUCCCAUUGUAUUUAUAGUUGCACAUCAAGUAUGAUUAGAUAUGCCAGUUCACUAUAAACAAUGCUCGGAUACCAAUCUGUCACACCCCCGAACAAGACGUCGGAAACAUUCGGGGGCUUGUGCGUGACUUCAUCUUCUAAUGUUGUCACAAUGUAUCUAAUUGAAACAAGACAACACCAUCAUCAUACAUAUGAAAAUACAACCAUCAUUGUCUAUAUUAAGUAUAGUAUCAUAGAUUACAUGCCAAAAUAUUCAAUGUAUGAUAAUAACAAAAUACGAAAAAUUCCACAUGUUCUAGUAGACCUUUCCACCUAACAAUUCCCUGGGAUACAAGUUAUUUUGAAAAUGUCAACAUAUAUAAUGUUGGUGAGCUCAUAAGCAUGUUUCAAUGAAAAGUUUUGUAUUGUUCGUAAAAAUGCCAGAAAAUCUGAUAUUUUUUGAAAAAUGGUUUGAGAGUGAUGUGUCAAGAUCAAGUACUAAUGCAUCUGUGUUUUCUGUUUUUGGAAUGUAUAUAAAAAAAUGAAUUCCCGAAAAACAUUUUGUAUUUUUUGUUGUAAGUAGAAGGUAUUGUUUAUUGUAUAUUUCCCUAGAAAAUGCGAUAUAUAUUCUGCUUACGAAAGUGUCGCGGUCUCAAACCUUAAGACCGAAUAUCAGUGCAUGUAUGUUUUCAUAUCGACAAGAUUUAAUAUAUGUUCCAUAAAAUUAUGAUGCAGUUAAUUUCUAUGUGAGACGUUUUAACCAUACUUGAUUAUGAUGAAUUCGCCUGUCGUGGCGUUUUCAAGCGAUGACUUGUCCAAGGAAGGGUUUGUCACCCUGGACUGGCCUAGUCUAACUGUAGCGAAUAGCUCAGGUGUGCGGUGUCACCCCAUAUAGAUCUAUACACAAACUCUCGCUCUCCCUCCAUGAGACUCUAGUUAUAACUACAGGCUACGAUCGUACACUGCUGUCAAUUGAGAUAUCUCACUAGAUCCUUAACUGAGUUUACGUGAAUAUUGUAUUAUGUUAUGUAUAAUAUUUCCAUGUAUAUUUUAUGUUUGAAAAGUCCAAUGAGUAUGUAUGUGAAUGUACCAGGCCCAACAGACGUGUAGAAGGACCACUAAGGCCCAAUAAACAUGAAAUGUAUGGUCCAGACCCAAUAAGCAAGUAAAUGGACCACUAAGGUCUAAUAAAACCAUGUAAUAUAUAAUCCAGGCCCAAUAAUCAUGUAAAUGGACCACUAAGGCCCAACAAACAUGUAAUCAAUGUAUUUAGUUCGGUUGUUAUUACAUUGUUUGUAACAUCCCAAAUUUCGAGUCCAAUUUUUUUUUCUACGGUUAAGUAAUUUAUAAAGUCGUUUACUAAGAACAUUGUCAACAUCAUAUCAAUCCAUAAUCCAUCAUGAAUAUGUCUAAAAAUCACAACAUCGCACAAUAGUAUAAAUCAGAGUACAAUCCUAGAAAACUCAUUGUGGAAAUCAUGUGUGUGUGCGCUGCUACACCGUCGGCUCCUCCCCCUUGGAUGAAGAGGUACCUGAAACCAAAACUAAAAACCAUAAGCACAAAGCUUAAUGAGUUCCCCCAUCAUACCCACACUAAAUAAUGCAUAAUCCUCAGUAUCUUUCAACCGGUAACUAUCUGGCAUAGCCGGGAGCUGGACUCCCUCUCGAUAUCUUUCAAUCGGUAAAUGGGAACUAACCUCCCCUUCGGUAUAUUUCAACCGGUAACUGGGAACUAACUUGCCCUUCGGUAUCUUUCAACCGGUAUCUGGGGACUAUAUCACCCCGACUACUGCUAACACAUAUUAAGCACAAUAAUCAUAUCAAGCACAUUAAUCAUAUCAAGCACGGUAAGCAUGUCACAUAUCAAUCCUAGAUAAUUAUCAAAAACACAAUCAUCUAUCCAACACUCUCACUUGUGGGCCGGCAUUGUAGCCGUAGACCCACCCCUACUAGAAGGAAACUCACCUCAAAUUCGUGUAGUGUCUGCACUGAUCUCGGUGUAGAAAUUGACUCUCCCCAACUCCUCAAUCCCUACUCGACAACUCUUCUAAGUUAUCAACUCAUACUCGUACCCCUUACAAGGGUCACUCAAUCCAAGUCAAAGUCAAAGUCAAAUUCAUGGUCAAAGUCAACAUUUGGUUGACUCAACUCGCCGAGUUGUCUAGACAACUCAUCGAGUCCCCAUAUCCACAAAAUGCUAUAAUCCCAUCCCUACUCGUCGAGUCUAGCAAGAGCUCGACGAUUUCGCCUUCAAAAACAUAUUGGACAACCUUCAACCGAAUCGUCGAGUUCGUCCGUGAACUCGCUGAGUUCAUCUUCAUCCAUAAGAAGAUGUUCAGUCUAUGACUCGCCGAUCCUAUCUUCAUGUGGCUGGGACAUUGCCUUGAACUCGUCGAGUCUGUUCAUCUGCUCGCCGAGUCCUAUGAUUUGCAGGUCUCUAGUGACCCCAAACAACUGGCAGAACCUUUGAUCUUAACAACUGAUCCAAAAACAAAAAGGAUUUGGUGGAAAAUGCACCCCGACUCGCCGAGUCCCUCUAUGUCCAAAACUAUGCAGUCGAUUAUAAUGGGUAUUAACGUGUCAAAACCAUAGAUCUGGCCUCCUAGGGUCCAUUUUAUAUGUAAAGCUUCAAACUUUAUGUACAUGUUGGAUUAGUGUCUAAGUCCAUAACUAUAUUUAGUAUGUACUUGACCUGACUUGGCAUGGUCCAUUUGGGUUGCAUGGGAUCAUGCAUUUGGAUAGACUAAAAUGAGAGAAAUAACACUUAAGGUUUUGUAAUAUAUUUUAAGUUCUAAUAUAUUAAUAAGAUUAUUUAAUUAGUAUUGAUUAAGAAUUAAUUUGGAAUUAAUUAUGUGAUCAAGAGGAGACUAAUUAAAUAUAUGGGUUGAUUGUGUAAAUCAUCCAUACUUGUAUAGUGGGCUAAUGCUCCAUGGAAUAUCAAGUUGGGCUAAAACCCAUAGCAUGCUCUAUGGAUGCUCCAUGGUGUUUUUUGUACCCAUGGAUCAUGGAAAUGAAAGGCCAUGACAAUUAGGGUUUACAUGGUAUCACCCUAAUUCUGACACACUAUAUAAGCGUCUUAUCCUUUUCAAAAUCGGCCACCAUGAGAGACUAUGAAGGAAUGGUGAGGGAUAGUUGAUUCCAUGAAGUGUAUCAUCUCUCUCUAAGUUAUUCCAAGUGCAUUUGAUUUUGCGUGAACCAUUUGAGGUGUCACACUUGGGGUACUAGGCUCUCGAGCAUCAUGGAUUCAAGCAACAUCAAGAGGUAUGUAUUCUAACUUAUUAUAUUAUCCAAGUAUCAAAAGAUUGUAUGCUAGACAGGGUAAUACCUUGGAAUAUUCAUAUCUGCAUGUAUAAUAGAAAAAACAUAGAUCCAAGGUAUUUAGGGUUGCAUGUACAGUUAUAAGUGUUAGAAUGCUCACAACCUAACAGUGGUAUCAGAGCCUAGGCUUGUUUUCUUGUUAUACUUGCAAAUUUGACUUAAAAAUCGAAGUUUGUUGUUGUUUGCUCAGCAGACUCGCCGAGUCCAUGAAGGGAGUCGACAAGUCCAAGGCUAAACUCAUCCAACGCCCUGAGUUCGUUUAUGCACUCGACGAGUUGGACCUCCAGACAACAUAUCUUCGACUGUUUUGGCUGGAAUUGGAGUAGGAACAUUACCCUAAGCUGUUUUUCAACUUAUAAACCUGUUUUUGAUGUGUUAAUGUUCAUGCUAAUGCAAUCUCAAAGAUAAUUGUCAAUAGAUUCAUGUUUUGUAUCAGUUUAAGGAUUAGACUAAUUACAUGAAAAAGUUUGAUUUGACUUAUCUUGUUCUUAUGAGUUGCUUAGAUUAAUAGAAAAGUUAAAUGAAAUUGUUGUUUUCAAUCCAAAUUAAUCUAAGAGUUGAUUCUAAAAUGUUUUUUUGUAACUUAUCCUCAAGUUAUAUGAAAAGUCACAUUUACGAUUCAUAAAACUCAUAAAUAUUUCCAUAUGUUAUGAAUAAAGAAAAGUCAAAUUCUUUUAAUAGUUUAAAGUCUUCCAUAACUUGUCCUCAAGUUAUGGAACUUGAAGAGUUUUUUGAUUAAAGCUACUUUAAACACAUAAGUUAUGGAAAUUGAAUAGUUUUGAAUAGUUUCAAAACUUGCCCUCAAGUUUUGGAGUUUGAAAAGUUUUCCCUUAUGAUGUAACGCCCCGAUUCUCAGGUAUUCAUUAUGUAAGAAUUAUUAGAUGAAGCCCUACUCGACGAGUCGGUCGACCUACUCGUCGAGUAGCAGCGGGGUGGGACCAUGUGUUAAGUGACCUACUCGCUGAGUCCCAUCUGGCAGAUGAAACCCUAAAUCCUGGGGUUUUCACCCCUAUUCAAAGGAGCCUCAGCCUCCUUUAGCCUCCUUGUAGUCUUUGAGAUCCCUUAAAACCCUAAUACGUGUGUGUGUGUGCCAUUGUGUGAUUGAAGCUUGAAAAGAGGAUUUUGGAGCGAGAAGGCUAAGAGGAGAAGGGUAUUGGAGCAAGUGGAGUGUGGAAAUCAGCUCUUAUCUCAGUCAUCGUCUUCUGGAGGUAACCAAAUCGCCUUUCUUCUUGUGAAUCUCUUCCAUUGUUGAGUUUUAGGGUUUUGGUGUAGUAUUAAGUUGAAAGGAUGAUAGGUCGGUACUCUAGUUACAGGAGGGUUCUAUGAGCACUCAUGAAUGUUGUAACAAACUUUUAUUAUGUCUAAUACUUUUUAGACAGUCUACACAACAAUUCAUGAUAGUCUUCACUCAUACCUACUUCCAACAUAUGAAUGACUGUGGACCGUUUGAAUAAUUCGAUUAUUCUUAAUAAACUCAAUUAUUCAGGAAAUCAAAACAUGCAAAGUGAAACAAUAGUUAAACAUAAUACAAAACUUUUAAAUAAUACUCCUUUACUUAAUCAUCAAAUGUCAAUUACAUUUAUCUAUUACAAGAUUCCAAACUAUCUAAUCCAAACUAAUAUCAUCCUUUAGCCCAAUCCUCCUAACGUGAUGCAAGUGCUUAACUCUACUCAGUCCCUUCGUAAGCAGAUCUGCUGGGUUAUCCUCUGACGAUAUCCUCUUAAAUACGAGGUGUCCUUCUUCUACUCGAUGUCUAAUAAAGUGAUAUUUUCUGUCGAUAUGCCGAGAUCUACCAUGAUCCCUCGGUUCCUUGGUCAAGGAAACCGCUCCUUCAUAUCACAAAAAAAAUCCAUAGGCUCUUUUAUGAAGUUCUUCAACCAUAUUGUCUCCUUUGACACUUCGCUUGCUGAAAUGUACUCUAAUUCGCACGUUGAAUUAGCUACGGUUUCCUGCUUGGAACUUUUCCAAGUCACUGCUCCUCCAUUAAGGGUAAAAACCCAUCCCGACUGCGAACGGUAGGUGUCCCUGUCGGCCUGGAAGCUAGCAUCACUAUACCCUCGCACCUUUAAGUCAUUGAUGUAACACUCGUGUUUCAAGCAUAGGCAUUUAUAUUGAGUUGAUAGUCUAGGUUAACCUUUGUAACUCAUUUUGAAGAAAUGAAAAGGAAUUAUGUGAAUAUUAUGUGAAUUAUGUGUUUUUUGCUUAAUUAUUAGCGCUUAAUUAAUUAAGAAUUAAAAUAAGCGUCAAAAUUAAAGUGUGAGAUAAGCCCUAUAUCUUUACAUAAAGUAGUAGUGGUCGAAACAAGGAUUUCGGUGAUAUAAAGAAUACCAAAAUCCGAGUUAUAACGAAGAAGUUAUGACCUGUCGAAAUUUUGCGACAAAACCGGCACGGUGCUGAGUGUCGUAUAAAGUGUGUUUUUGAUAAACUACUUUUUAGACUUAGUAAUCUAAAUAAAAGUCGUAGUAUUCGUCAAACCGAGAAGUUCGAUAAAAAGAACGCCCAAAUUUGACUUCGUAUGAGGAAGUUAUGAUUUUUUGAAGUUUCAGCUUAGAAGUAGACACCUAAAAACUCGAAUUUUAGAUCGAGCGAUUUUUAGCCGACACAACCUAAACGAGAAUUGAAGGUCUCGUCAUUAGUAGCACAAUGGUAAAAAGUCUGACGAAAACGGACGUCGGAUGAAGAAGUUAUGAAUUUUUAACGGAUUUCCUGUCCCGGUUUGUUAAAAAUAAUAAUAAUAAAAUUAAAUUCAAAAUUAGCCAUCCAAGUCUAAACGAAAGUUGUAGAGCGUAAUUUUUGCUACGCGUUCAUAUAAAGAACUUCAAAAACGGAGCUCGUAUGCGAAAGUUAUUGAUUUUAGAAGUUUUGGCGCGGAAAUCGAGAAAAUUCGCAUAGUCACACUUUGCCACGUCACCCUCGCUGAAAGAGCGCCACAUGUCCUGUUGAGUCACCGAGCUGUUGAGUCAUGCGAAGCCACGCGUCGGAUCUUGAUUUGGCCGAGGAGGAGGCCCAAUCCGAAGCAGCCAGCUCUCCGGCCAAAGCUUCGCCCGCGUUCCAAGCCUCGCAUAGCCUAGCUCCGAACCUCGCACAUGGGUCACGAGUCCGCGGUCCAAUCAGCGGCUGCCACCGAGUCCGUCGCACCUACACACCCUCGCCUGCGGACCCCACCACCGAAGCCGACUUCGGACCCUAUAAAUAGAAGGGGACCUGUGAGCCUUCUCGAGCAUAAUUGAAUAAUUGCAAUUUUUCACCCCUUUCUUCAUCUAUUCUUCACCUUAACCUUCCCUGAAGCCCCGGUAUCGAUUGUAAACCCCGGAAUACACCACGAAGUGCCCGUGAAGCCCAAAAAAUUUAUCUUUUCGGUUUCGAAGCCCGACUUUUGCAGAGCCCGGUUUCUCAAUAAAACUCCCGGUUUUAUUAGAAACGAUCGGUUUAGGAAACGAAUUGCUGCCCGAUUUUCAUCAAAACAUGUGAGUGUGUAGUUACUUUCAAUUUACACAUAGGUAUGAAGUAUUUACCUUGAAAUAUGUGUUAUGUGUAAAUAUGUUAAUUGUUUAUUUGAGGUGACUGUUGAAUUGAUGUUUUACACAAGUUUUAAACUGUAUAUGCUUUUAUCUACAAAAUAUGUUGGGUAGAACAUGGGUAGAUGAAAUAGGUGAUGUGUGUUAAAAUGGUGAGAGGCCUUGAUGUUGUUGUUGUUGUUGUUUUUGUUGUCAUCUAGCGGAGUAUAGAUGACGACCACAAACUUUUCUAGACAGUCCAGUGGAACACCAGCAGGUUCGCAACUUGUAGGUGUUGAUGAAUUAAAUGUUCAUUGGCGUAUUCCAUCCCCCUCAUGGUUGCCUUAAGGACAUGUAUGGCUGAGGAAACCCCUUAGCAGUAGUGUCCAUCCUGAUGAUAUUCCUUAGGCUAGGUCCCUUGUGAUAGGUGUUUAGGGACGUAAAGUGAGGACAACGGGAAUGGGUAAUCAGGGUUAUUAUUGAUUGGUGAACUUAAUAUGUAUAUUAUUAAUGUGGGUUGAAAACCAUAUAUGCUGACCAGCCUCCCUAGCCUGACCCACUCAGUUUUAUGAUUACAGGUAGUGGACCCCGAGUAUAUUUGGAGGACGAUGAGAGAUUUUUGGAUUAUAGGCCAGUAGUUGUAAAUAACUGUUGAAAGGCUUAUAAUGUCUUGUUUAUGCUUUUGAUCUGUAUCGGAACAUCACAUCCCGAGGUUUUGAUAUAAAAUGAAACUAUACAUUUCUUAAAGAAGGUUUUGAUAAACUUUUAUCAUGUUUUGUUUUGGGAAUAAAUUCCGCAACAUCUUUUAAAAAGAUUUCUGUUAAUUUAUUUUAAAAAACAUAAAUUAUAUCGGUCUUUUCUGGCUGAGAAAUUAGGGGAUGUCACAGUUGGUAUCAGAGCCUUAGUUUAAGCGAACUAAGAAAUUGUAUAAUUUCUAGACUUGAACUUAGAAUGCUAAGUGAUGAUUGUGAGAUGAGUGUCUACCAUAUUUUAGACACGAGCACUAGUUUAUUUUAGGGAAGAUGCCUAAAAUGCCCUUAUGUGCUAAAUGCUAUGUGUUUGCCAUGUGUGCCAUUAUUUGUUCGGAUCUAUGGUAUAUUGCCGACUGGAUCUGGAAACCUUAUGUGUGUAGGAUUCUAAGCGUAUGAUUACGAGAUUAGAACUAACAUGUAAACGUUUCGGAGUGAUAAGGGAAUAGACAUUUCUAACAAGAAUAAAGACCUAAAUUCACCUUAUUCAGUAUAUAGAUUGAAAUGGAAAGAACUCUGAGUGGAGCUGGAAAUGCAAACAGAAACCAACAACCUCAAACUCAAGUGGUGGAACGGGUGCCUAUAGUAGGAGCUGCACCCAAACCCAUCACCAUGGCUAGAGUACGAACUAUGAUUCAGACCAUGUUGGCUAAACAGAGGGAGGAAUUGAGGCAAAUGUUACUGAACAACAGGGAUGAACCUUCAGUUCCUGUUGAACAAUGUGAACUAAAUGACGAUGGAUCCGAAGAAGGGAACAACAGCAUAUCGGUUGGUCAUAGUGAACCACAUGUGGUUGGGAGGAAUAACCACGAGGGUAGAGUGGAGAGAAAUGGGUGCAAGUAUAAGGACUUUAUGACUUACAAGCCAUCGACCUUCACGGGAAAGGAAGAUCCCGUUGGAGUAAUGGACUAGAUCUCGGAAAUGGAGUUGGCUUUCAUGACUUGUGAUUGCCAAGGAAAGUUACAAACUACCUUUGAAGUACGUCAGUUCAUGGGUAGUGCUACUCGUUGGUGGAGCACUUUGGGGAAAACCCUAAGCCCUAAUGAGCUACUGCAAUUAACUUGGGCAGAGUUCUUAGUGCACUUCAGGCGCAAGUACUGCUCGGCCCAAAACGUACUUGAGUUAGAAAACCAAUUUCUAACAUUGCAGAAGAGGAGUAUGACCGUUGACGAAUAUAUGAAUAACUUCACAAACAAAAUGUAGUUUGCUUUGCAUAUUGUCCCAGAUUAGUUGGCAAAAAUUGACAGGUACGCAAAGGGACUUCCAUGGGAGUACGCGGUGCCAGUACAUUAGGCACUUACUUUAGAGGCAGUUAUAUGGGCUGCCAAGUCUGUUGAAGAUAUGAUAAAAGGGAGAGCUGCCAGCAAGGUUGAAGUUGGCGAAAAGAGAAAGUUUGAAGGAACUUCAGGUUCCAAUAAAAAGAACAAAUUCUCGAAGACUGGUUCGAGAAAAGUUGGAGGAGGAGCCGAAGCCAAGUGGUAUGACAAGUGUAAGAAGAAACAUGCUGGGAAGUGUAGCGUGGAAGUCACUUGUUACAAAUGUGGAAAGUUUGGGCAUUUUGCCAAUGAAUGCACCUUCAAUAAGAACGUAUGUUUUGGGUGCAAUGAAGAAGGGCAUAUUUUGAGGGAUUGCCCGAGGAAGAAGGAUGCAACAAAACCCAAUCUACCACCAAAGCCGAAGGCGAGAGCCUUUCAGAUGACACUCGAAGCUGCGAAUGAAGAAGCCGAUGUCGCUUCAGGUACCUUUCUCGUAAACGAAUUGCCUGCCCAAAUUUUGUUUGAUUCUGGAGCCAAUUACUCCUUUAUAUCGCAUGAAUUUGGUAGAAAGCUAGCUUUGCCUGUAGAUAUGCUAGUUAAUGCUAUAAUAGUCGAGAUUGCUAGUGGCAAGUUUGUACCUGUUAGCCAUCGUAUGAAAAACAUCCUCCUUGACUUGGAUGGGAAUAAGUUCCAAGAGGAAUUAUUGCCUAUCGAGUUAAAUGGAUUCGACAUAGUUUUAGGAAUGGAUUGGCUUAGCGCCAACGAUGCAGAAAUACUAUGUAGAAAGAAGAUAGUAAAAGUAAACCCGCCAGGAAAAGAGUCGUUUAUGGUGUAUGGAGACAAACGCAAAGUAAAAUUCUGGAGUCAUUUCCCUAAUGAAAGCCAGAAAGUGUUUGGCCAAGGAAUGCACAUCAUAUCUAGCAUUCGUGAUCGAUGCUAAGAUGGAAAAGAAGGAGGUGUAGAAUAUUCCGGUGGUGUGUGAUUAUCCGGAAGUCUUUCCCGAAGAUCUUCCCGGAUUGCCCCCUGAUCGACAAGUAGAAUUUCGUAUCGACUUGUUACCAGGAACGACGCCGAUAGCAAAAGCACCAUAUCGAUUAGCACCAACGGAAAUGAAAGAACUUAUGACAUAGCUUUAGGAGUUAAUGGACAAAGGUUUCAUUCGACCUAGUUCAUCGCCCUGGGGAGCCCCUAUGUUAUUUGUAAAGAAGAAAGACGUGAGCAUCCGAAUGUGCAUCGAUUACAAAGAGCUGAACAAAGUGACGAUAAAGAACAAGUACCCAUUGCCAAGGAUCGACGACCUGUUCGACCAGUUACAGGGUUCGAGCUAUUUCUCGAAGAUCGAUCUUAGGUCGGGAUACCAUCAACUAAAGGUGAGAGAGCAGGAUAUCGAAAAGACUGCUUUUAGAACGAGAUAUGGACACUAUGAAUUUUUGGUUAUGUCGUUCGGACAAAACAAUGCCCCAGCAGCUUUCAUGGAUUUGAUGAAUAGGGUUUGUAAACCAUUCUUAGAUAAAUCCAUGAUAGUAUUCAUAGACGAUAUCUUGAUUUAUUCAAAAAGAAAGCAAGAACAUGAAAAGCAUCUACGUGAAGUGCUAGAAGUCUUGAAAAAGGAGAAGUUGUAUGCAAAGUUCUCCAAAUGUGAAUUUGGAUUCAAGAAGUCCAAUUUUUAGGUCAUAUGGUUAACCAAGAAGGAAUAAUGGUCGACCCAGCAAAGAUUGAAGCUGUGAUGAAGUGGGAACAACCAAAAAGCCCUACGGAGAUUCGAAGCUUUUUAGGAUUAGCUGGAUAUUACCGAAGGUUUAUCCAAGGCUUUUCUUCGAUUGCUACUCCAUUAACAGCUUUGACCCACAAAGGAGCUACUUAUGCUUGGAAUGAGAAGCAUAAGGAAGCCUUUGAGAAGUUGAAGAAGAGAUUGUGUGAAGCACCGAUUCUUUCAUUGCCUGAAGGAGUUGAUGACUUUGCAGUUUAUAGCGAUGCAUCUGGAGUUGGGUUAGGUUGUGUUCUGACCCAAAGGGAUAAAGUGAUCGCGUAUGCAUCGAGGCAAUUGAAGGAACAUGAAAAGAACUACCCCACUCAUGAUCUGGAGUUGGCAGCGGUAGUAUUUGCCUUAAAGAUAUGGAGGCAUUAUCUUUAUGGCACAAAGUGUAAACUUUUCACUGAUCAUAAGAGUCUCCAAUAUCUCUUUAAUCAGAAGGAAUUGAACAUGAGGCAACGACGCUGGCUAGAGUUACUCAAGGACUACGACUGUGAGAUACUUUACCACCCUGGUAAAGCAAAUGUGGAUGUUGAUGGUCUCAGUCGGAAGGUAAACCUUGAAAAGAAAACGCCAAGAGCAUUGAGAAUUGAAGUUGUCUCGACAAUUGUGGAAAGUAUAAAGAAAGCUCAAGAGGAAGCUUUAGAGAAAAGUGACCGAAAGGAAGAACGUUUGGGCAAAACGUUAGUGUUCGGUACAAACAACCAAGGGUUGAAGGUAUUUCAAGAUAGAAUUUGGGUACCUAAGACGGGCGGAAUAAGAGAUCUUCUGAUNCGGGCGGAGUAAGAGAUCUUCUGAUGGAAGAAGCUCACAAGACCAUGUACUCGAUUCAUCCCGGCAGUACAAAAAUGUAUAGGGAUCUAAAUCCCCAUUAUUGGUGGCCGACGAUGAAGCUCGAUUUUGCUAAGUAUGUGGCCGAGUGUGUAACUUGUGCUAGGGUUAAGGCACAACAUCAGAAACCGUAUGGGAGUUUAGAACCUUUACCCGUACCCAUGGGUAAAUGGGAAGACAUCACCAUGGAUUUUGUGACUAAACUGCCCAGAACAAGGAACGGUCACGACAUGAUUUGGGUGGUCGUUGAUCGCUUCACUAAGAGUGCGCAUUUCAUAGCAGCCAAAGAGAAAUGGUUUAUGGAUAAACUUGCAAAUUCUUACGUGAAGGAAAUUUUGAGGCUUCACGGUGUUCCGCUAACGAUUAUAUCCAAUCGUGAUAGCCGUUUUACCUCAAGGUUUUGGAGGAGUCUACAAGAAGAAUUGGGUACUAAGUUGUGUUUGAGUACAGAUUACCAUCCGCAAACCGAUGGUCAGAUCGAACGAACGAUUCAAACAUUGGAGGAUAUGCUGAGAGCAUGUACCCUAGAAUUCCAAGGUAACUGGGAUGAACACUUACCUCUAGUAGAAUUCUCCUAUAAUAAUAGUUUCCACUCAAGCAUUAAGAUGGCACCUUAUCACGCUUUGUAUGGGGAGAAGUGUCGAACGCCAUCAUGUUGGCUGGAAGCUGGGGAAAAGCAGUUUAUGGGACCUGAAAUAGUCCAUGAGACUGCUGAAAAGUUGAAAGUGAUAAGGGAAAGGAUGUUAGCUGCUCAAGAUCGACAAAAGAGUUAUGCUGACAAGAAAAGACAACCGAUAACCUUUGAAGUUGGAGAUUCGAUUUUACUUAAAGUCUCGCCGUGGAAGGGACUUAUAAGAUUUGGGAAAUGAGGAAAGUUAAGUCCAAGGUUUAUUGGACCGUUCAAAGUUCUUCAGAAGAUCGGGAAUCAAGCUUACAAGCUAGAGUUACCGGAAGAACUGGAGGGUAUUCAUAACACCUUUCAUGUGUGUUACUUGAGAAAGUUCACGGGAGAUGUGCCCGACAUAAUUCCGAUUUCUGAGUUAAAGUUGGAUGAAAACAAGAGGUUGAUCGAAGAACCUGAGGCAAUCGUUGACCGUAAGACUAUGAAGUUGCAACGCAAGAUGGUCGAUUUAGUUCUUGUGCGUUGGAAACAUACGAAUGGACCAAAUCUCACUUGGGAAACGGAGAGCGACAUUAUGAGUCACUACCAGCAGUUGUUUGGUGAUAUGUGAUUCCGGGGAUGGAAUCAUCCUAAGGGGGAGAGAAUUGUAACACGCGUGUUUCUAGCCUAGGCAUUUAUAUUGAGUUGAUAGUCUAGGUUAACCUUUGUAAGUCAUUUUGAAUAAAUGAAAAGGAAUCAUGUGAAUAUUAUGUGAAUUAUGUGUUUUCUGCUUAAUUAUUAGGGCUUAAAUAAUUAAGAAUAAAAAUAAGCAUCAAAAUUAAAGUGUGAGAUAAGCCCGAUAUCUUUACAUAAAGUUGUAGUGGUCGAAACAAGGAUUUCGGGGAUAUAAAGAAUACCAAAAUCCGAGUUAUAACGAAGAAGUUAUGACCUGUCGAAGUUUCGCGACAAAACCGGCACGGUGCUGAAUGUCGUAAAAAGUGAGUUUUUGAUAAACUACUCUUUAGCCUUAGUAAUCUAAAUGAAAGUCGUAGUAUUCGUCAAACCAAGAAGUUCGAUAAAAAGAACGCCCAAAUUUGACUUCGUAUGAGGAAGUUAUGAUUUUUCGAAGUUUCAGCUUAGCAGUAGACAGCUAAAAACUCGAAUUUUAGAUCGAGCGCUUUUCAGCCGACACAACCUAAACAAGAAUUGAAGUUCUCAUCAUUAGUAGCACAAUGGUAAAAAGUCUGACGAAAACGAACGUCGGAUGAAGAAGUUAUGAAUUUUUAAUGGAUUUCCUGUCCCGGUCUGUUAAAAAUAAUAAUAUAAAAUUUAAAGUCAAAAUUAGCCGACGAAGUCUAAAUGGAAGUUGUAGAGCGUAAUUUUAGCUACGCAUGCAUAUAAAGAACGUCAAAAACGGAGCUGGUAUGCGAAAGUUAUGGGUUUUAGAAGUUUUGGCGCGGAAAUCGAGAAAAUUCGCAUAGUAACACUUUGCCACGUCACCCUCGCUGAAAGAGCGCCACGUGUCCUGCUGAGUCAUGCGAAGCCACUCGUCGAAUCCUGAUUCGACCGAGGAGGAGGCCCAAUCCGAAGCAGCCAGCUCUCCGGCCGAAGCUUCGCCCUGCUGCCGCGUGAACCAAGCCUCGCAUAGGCUAGCUCCGAGCCUCACACAUGGGUCACGAGUCUGCGGUCCAGUCAGCGGCUGCCACUGAGUCCCUCACACCUAUGCACCCUCGCCUGCGGACCCCAACACCGAAGCCGACUUCAGCCCUUAUAAAUAGAAGGGGACAUGCGAGUCUUCUCGGGCAGAAUUGAGUAAUUGUAAUUUUUCACCCCUUUCUUCAUCUUUUCCUCACCUUAACCUUCCCCGAAGCCCCGGUAUCGAUUGUAACCCCCGGAAUACUCCAUGAAGUGCCCGUGAAGCCCAGAAAAUUUAUCUUUUCGGUUUCGAAGCCCGACUUUUGCAGAGCCCGGUUUCUCAAUAAAACUCCCGGUUUUAUUAGAAACGAUCGGUUUAGGAAACGAAUUGCUGCCUGAUUUUCAUCAAAACAUGUGAGUGUGUNGUGAUUGUGUAGUUACUUUCAAUUUACACAUAGGUAUCAAGUAUUUACCUUGAAAUACAUGUUAUGUGUAAAUAUGUUAAUUGUUUAUUUGAGGUGACUGUUGAAUUGAUGUUUUACACAAGUUUUAAACUGUAUAUGCUUUUAUCUACAAAAUAUGUUGGGUAGAACAUAGGUAGAUGAAAUAGUUGAUGUGUGUUAAAAUGGUGAGAGCCCUCGAUGUUGUUGUUGUUGUUGUUUUUGUUGUUGUAGUCAUCUAGCGGAGUAUAUAUGACGACCACAGACUUUUCUAGACAGUCCAAUGGAACACUAGCAGGUUCGCAACUUGUAGGUGUUGAUUCAUUAAAUGUUCAUUGGCGUACUCCAUCCCCCUCAUGGUUGCCUUAAGGACAUGUAUGGCUGAGGAAACCCCUUAGCAGUAGUGUCCAUCCUGAUGAUAUUCCUUAGGCUAGGUCCCUUGUGAUAGGUGUUUAGGGACGUAAAGUGAGGACAACGGGAAUGGGUAAUCAGGGUUAUUAUUGAUUGGUGAACUUAAUAAGUAUAUUAUUAAUGUGGGUUGAAAACCCUAUAUGCUCACCAGGCUCCCAAGCCUGACCCACUCAGUUUUAUGAUUACAGGUAGUGGACCUCGAGCAUAGUUGGAGGACGAUGAGAGAUUUUUGGAUUAUAGGCCAGUAGUUGUAAAUAACUGUUGAAAGGCUUAUAAUGUCUUGUUUAUGCUUUUGAUCUGUAUCGGAACAUGACAUCCCGAGGUUUUGAUAUAUAUGGAAAAUAUAUACCUUCUUAAUGAAGGAUUUUGAUAAACUUUUAUCAUAUGUUGUUUGGGGACCAAUUCCGCAACAUCUUUUAAAAAGAUUUCUCUGAUUUUAUUUUAAAAAGCAUAAAUUAUAUCGGUCUUUUCUGGCCGACAAAUUAGGGGAUGUCACAAUCACUCCCUCCGAGGACCAAAAACCAUUCCUUGGUCCUCCGAAAUGAAAUGAAAUGAUGUUUCUUGCCAUAUCUCGCGAGUAGCAACUAUUAUUUAAAUCUAAAUCUAAUCCAUUACUAAGCACUAGAGAAUACACUCCAAUCUUGGUGACAGGAGACGAUCUUCAGUUCCCCAUGAUUAAAUUUAUUCUUCCACGCUCCACAUCCCUAUUUCUUCUUAGUCCCUACAAAUUAGAAUAGAUGUGAUAACCACAUCCUGUAUCAAGAACCCAAGAAAUAGCAUGAGAUGAAUCAUUAGACUUAAUUGUGUAAAUACCUGCGAAAGACGACUUGAUCUUCCCAUCCUUGGUGGCAUGCAGAUAUUUCGGGCAGCUUCUCUUCCAAUGCCCUAUUUUGUGGCAAUGGUGGCACUCUGCCUCCUUUGGGUGUGCAUUGGGCUUAGCAGGGCCAACCUUGGUCCCACUAGAAAAGGAACCAUCUUGGGACUUUCCCUUUUGGUGGCUCUUUGAAGGAGCCUUCCUCUUCUUGCCCCUUCUUUUCCCAAUAAUAAAAACAUGCGCAGCGGGUGGAUUGGGAGUUAAUGCAACAGACUUGUCCUUGAGGUUACUCUCAGCAGUCCUUAGGAGCCCUUGGAGUUUGCUUAGGGUGACCUCUUCCUUGUUCAUGUGGUAGGUCAUCAGAAAUUGGUUGUAGCACGAGGGCAAGGAGUGAAGAACGAUGUUGAUACCCAAAUCUUCCCCAAAGUUAACAUUCAACUUGCGAAAACGAUCAACAUAUCUUUGCAUCUUUUGCAAGUGCACGGUUAGAGACUCUCCACUUCCCAUCUUAGCGGUGAUCAUGUUCGUGAUGAUCUCAUAGCGCUCUUGCCUCACGCUUUGGUGGUAUCUCUCCAUUAACUCUUGAUGCAUUUCGGAUGGAUACAUGUCCUCAUAGGACUUUUGGAAUUUGGGGUUCAUUGUGGCUAGCAUAAUGCAAUGGACUUACGUUGCAUCACGCUCAUGGGUCUCAAAGACAGCCAUUUCUUUGGGAGUAGCGAUUUCUGGUUUGAUCUUUUCGAGCUUCUCGUUGAGGACAUACCCUUUGUCCUCGUAGCGCGCAAUCAUGCGAAUGUAUCUUAUCCAUUCGCUAAAGUUCGAUCCGUCAAAAGUCACUUUUUCACAAAGGCUCAUUAGCGUGAAUGAGCUAGCAGCAGCGUUGUUCGCGUUAAACAUCUACAAAUAGAAAGGAGCAAAGUUUGAUUAGAAUUAAAUCCCUAAUUAAACACCCAAAAUGAAAAAUUAGGGCUAGGACCCUACAACAUUAUUCACACAUUAGAAAAUGGAUGCCGUAAUCCAACAUGCAAAUAAUUUGGAGGUAAGUGAAUGACGAUUCACUAAUUCUUCACCAUGAAAAACAUAAGCUUAAGUUUUAAAUGUAUCGAGAAUUCCUAGAUUUCCUUAUAGAUUCAUUGAACAUUUUCAAAGGCAUGUUUAAAUCUCGAUAUGCCCCUCUCGUUUGUGACUGGGAUGCCGAGGAUCACAAAGUGGGUGUGAAUAACCAUGCAAAUCUACAUGGUGCCUUCAAUGUUACAGUCACCUAUUCGAUGUGCCCGUAAACCACACACGCUCCAUAGAACUAUAACAAACAAUGAAUCACCCUUUGCCACCUUUGCUUAGAACCAAUUAGUGUGCCGGUUAACCACACAUGCUCCACUGACAUCUUUGCAAGGGUGCAAAGUGUAAUUUCAUGGGAUUGCAUCAAUUCACUUUUACCUAAAGUAACUAGGAUUGGGAAUUUGAAAAACAUGUAGUUACUUUGUAUUUUACAUUAUACUUUUAAUGAGGAGAGAAUUGCCCUAUCCUACCUGUUCGGCUAACGACCCUCCACCAGUCAAGCAAGCGGUGGGUGUGAGUGUACACCCAUUAAGCGCCAUUUUAUAGGCAACAUCCUUAUACCCACCUUAUAGACCGACUUUGUGAAUGAGGCCUACUAAUAGUAAGACUAGCAUUUUAAUUAUACAUAUAUAUUCAUUAAGCUUGUAAUAAUAUACUAGUAUAGGGUUGAAUUUUAAACUUGUAAAAUUCUAAGGGUUUGAAAUUUAAAUUCUUCAAAAUUAAACUUUUAAUCACAAAAUUAAAAUUUCAAAACUUGAGGACAAAUUUUGAACUUUUCAAAACUAAAGGGAUCAAAUAACAAAUAACUUAAAUUAAAUAAUUAAUUUCAUAAUUAUCUAUAUUUGACCUAAUCCAAUUUUAGUCAUUGGAUAAUUACCAAAUAAUUUUAAAUAGUCCAUAUUUAUCAUAUAAAUAACCAAUACUCAAAAGAUUUUAAAUUAUCUAUUCUUAUGUCAAGGAUAAUCAUUUACUUAAGUCAAAAUUCGGAUUUUAACAUUACAAAAUGAUUUAGGUAUCACAUCCAAGACAAAACAGCAACUAAAUCCCGAAAUAUCUUCUGCCUGAUGCACGGACUCGUCGAGUCAGCUCUGAACUCGCCGAGUAGGGCCAACUCGCCGAGUCUAGAUACUGACUCGCCGAAUUGGGUCGGGCAGGGGCCAAAAAAAUCUAUUUUCAGCAAGCAAAACAGUUAAGCAUCACAUACAAUUGAAACCAAUCAUGGCUCUGAUACCAUUGAUGGGUUUUAGGUAUAAGAAACAAUCCUAUGUGCUCAUACAAACCCUAAAGCUUGGAUCUAGGUUUCUCUAUUGUACAUCCUUUGAUUCCAAGACUUGAAAACCUAGAUCUAACAUAUAUAAUUCAAAAAUAUCAUGAUGAAAAUAGAUCUAAGUGUUUACCUCUUCCAAGUAGCUUGAAAUCCUUGUAAUCUUCUUGAUCUUGAGCUUAGAGUCGCAAUUAUAACUCCUCUAAUGGUUCACAAACCCCACAAGCAAGAAGGCAAUAUGAUAGAGGUUGAGAGUUGUUGGAAAUCGGCCCUAGGGUUCUCUUAGAAGCAUGUGUAGCCGAUUCCUAUAGCAUAGGGGUCUUAUUUAUACUUACAGGCUACUAGGAUUUCAGUCUAAACCCUAAUGGACAGCUUAACCACCAAGCAGCCCAAGGAGCCUUCUGGAAUAAGGCCUUGGACGAAAAUAUGAUGGAUCCCCAUCAUAAUUUCGUUCCCCUUUUAAUCCAUAAGGUUUCCUUAGCCCAAAAACCCAACUAUCAUACAUUUGACAGUUUAUACCCCUUUAUUUAAUUAAUCUCUUUUAGCCACUAAAUUAAUUCCUAAUUAAUUUAUGACAAAUACUAAUUAAAUAUUAUUUCUUCUUUAAUAUAUUUUUCUUAUAAUAUAUUAAUAAAUCAUAACACUUUCUCUUUCUCCUUAAAUUACCUUAUCAAGUUGCUUUGGUGAAGGCAACCCAAAAGGACCAUGCACAACCGGGUCAAGUACAUACCAAAUACAUUUACGGGCUUAGACACUAUUCCAACAUAUGGGUCAUUAUGGAUCGAUUGACCAAGAGUGCCCAUUUCCUAGCCAUACGGGAGAGCUCGUCGGCAGAGAAGGUGGUCGAUCUGUACGUCAGGGAGAUUGUCUCUCGCCAUGGGGUUCUAGUUUCUAUCGUUUCCGAUCGAGAUGUCAGGUUUACUUCCCGUUUUUGGCAGAAGUUCCAUGAGGAACUGGGUACACGACUGCAUUUUAGCACGGCGUUCCAUCCGCAUACUGAUGGGCAGAGUGAGCGGACCAUUCACACCCUCGAGAAUAUGUUGAGGGCGUGGGUUAUUGAUUUCAGUGAGAGUUGGGAUUCCCACCUACCACUUGCAGAGUUCGCCUACAACAACAGCUAUCAUUCCCGUAUUGGCGCCCCGUCUUUCGAGCUGUUGUAUGGGCGGAAGUGUAGGACCCCAGUCUAUUGGGGCGAAGUUAAGCACAAAGUGAUGGGUCAGACAGAGGUAGUUCUACAAACUACCGAAAUGAUACAGCAGAUUAGACAGCGACUGCAGACCGCUAAGAGCCGGCAGAAAAGGUAUGUCGACCGACGCCGAUCUAAGCUAGAAUUUCAGUUGGGUGACAUGGUUCUUCAGAAGGUCUCACCCUGGAAGGGUGUGAUCCACUUCAGGAAGAGGGGAAAAUUGGGUCCCCGUUACAUUGAGCCGUUCAGGAUUAUCGCUAGGUUUGGCAGGGUGGCAUAUAGGCUAGAGCUUCCGGAGGAGCUUAGCCGGAUCCACAACAAAUUUCAUGUUUUGCAAUUGCGAAAAUGCAUUAUGGACCAGGAGGCAGUAGUAUCGUAGGAUGACAUUCAGGUCGAUGAGUGCCUAAACUAUGUGGAAAGGACUAUGGAGAUUUUGGAAUGGAAGAAGAAGAUUCUGCAGAACAAGGAAAUACCUUUGGUAAAGGUACAAUUGGAACAUUGUAAGGGAUCCGAGUGGACAUGCGAUCCGGAGGCGGAGAUGCACGAGCAUUACCCGACAUUGUUUAUUCCAGCAGACUUCGAGGGUGAAGUCUAGUUCAAGUGGGGGAGAGUUGCAACGCCCCGAUUCUCAGGUAUUCAUUACGUAAGAAUUAUUGGAUGAAGCCCUACUCGACAAGUCUGUCGACCUACUCGUCGAGUAGCAGCGGUGUGGGACCGCAUGUUAAAUGACCUACUCGACGAGUCCACUUUGGGACUCGGCGAGUAGGAGCUGGAAGAUGAAACCCUAAAUCCUGGGGUUUUCACCCCUAUUUAAAGGAGCCUCAGCCUCCUUUGGCCUCCUUGUAGUCUUUGAUAGCCCUUAAAACCCUAAUACGUGUGUGUGUGUGCCAUUGUGUGAUUGAAGCUUGAAAAGAGGAUUUUGGAGAGAGAAGGCUAAGAGGAGAACGGUAUUGGAGCAAGUGGAGUGUGGAAAACAUCUCUUAUAUCAGUCAUCAUCUUCUGGAGGUAACCAAAUCACCUUUCUUCUUGUGAAUCUCUUCCAUUGUUGAGUUUUAGGGUCUUUGUGUAGUAUUAAGUUGAAAGGAUGAGCUAUGGGCUAGAUCUGAGGUUCUAACUUCAGAUCUGGACCCUCCUUGGAUGCUAGAAUCAUAAAGUUGUUGUAUUGGUUGUGAUUGAGGCCCCUCUUAGACUUGAAGCUUCAUUAAGAACUUAAAAUAGACAUUUAGAGCCUUUUAUAGCCAUGCAUGCACGUAAAGUUUUCAACUUUACGUGAUAAGCAUGCCCUAGAAGCUUGGAUCUGUGAUUUGGAGCCACUGCAUGGGUCAAAUCAAGUCUGUAUGGAAAAAGAACUAAAUGGACUCGGCGAGUCGCAAGAUGACUCGGUGAGUCAUAUGAAGAUGGCCGUGGACUCGACGAGUUGGAUGAACAAAUCGGCGAGCCCGAUGAAGAUCACCGUAAGACUCGACGAGUUGAAGAACAACUCGGCGAGUUGGAUGAGUUUUCCCUAGAUUUUGUAUGUGUGCGUAUCUGUCGAGUUGCAAGGAGGGAACUCGACGUGCGAUCUUAAGUUUGAUCGAGGAUCAAAGGAACUCGACGAGUCACUUCGAUGACUCGACGAGGUUGAAUGUACUUCAGGGAACUCGGCGAAUAGCCAAGGGUACUCGGCAAGUUAAGAUCAAUAUGUAUUGUUGACCUUGAUUGAGGACUUUGACUUUGACCAGGGGUUGGCUAGUGGUUUAUAAAGUACAUUGUAAGGUUAAGGACUUAUGAGUAUGAGGUAAUAUGAUGAUAGGUGGUGGAACCUGUGUCAAGUGAUCUGAGAGUUGGAUUUUACCUUUCGUUUCGACAUCUGUGAGGUGAGUUAUCCUCACUAUAUCGAUAGGGUCUACGGCACCAAGGCCGGCCCUUUAGUUGUUAUUGUUAUGGAAUGUUGCAUGUGGUUAUGAAUUGUUAGUUCAGAAUCGAGGUAGACAGUAUGUUAUGCUUUUAUGAUCCGUAGGGAUUGGUGUGUUAGUGACCUGAUAGGUCAGUACUCUAGUUACAGGAGAAUUCUAUGAUUAUGAUCAGUGAGAUAGAUAUGCUUGAUGUUUUUCUAUGCCAGUAUAUGAUAACUAUGCACACCUGGUUAUUUGCUUAUUGGUUAGGUUGAGGUGGUCCUGCUUUGUGCUGAACGCCAACAUACCCUAUGAGCGGUCCGGGGAGACUGUAGGCCCAAGUGGCGGACCAGUCAUGCUGAAGGCUCGGGAUAGAUUCAGACAGACUAUAGGCCCGGUAUGGCGGUCCAGUCAGGCCGAUGGCCUAGUAUGCAUGAUGAUUGAUUGAUUAAUAUUGAUAUGUUAUUGUCAGUGUGGUAUUGGUAUUUUGGGGGUAGCUCACUAAGCCCUCGGACAUACAGUUUUCAGUUUAUAGUUUCAGGUACUUAAGGAGUCCAUGGAAAGGUGAAGGCGUGACCGUACCGUUCCUCAUCCUUAUGUUAUGAUUUUUGGGACACUCUGAUGGAAAAUGAUUUGAAAACAUUUUUGUAAACAAUGCUUUACAGUUUUUAUUUAUGAUUGAAAAAGUUUAAAUUUGGCAUGAAAAUUAUGGAUGUUACAUAUGAAUACUUUAAUUCCAAGUUAAUCCCUUACAAUUUUAAAAGUUAAAAUUCAACCCUUAUACUUUAUAAUAUUAUAAGUUAAUAAUAUUUAUAUAUAUGUUUAAGAGCAAGUCGUCUUACCAUUCGUAGGACUCAUUCACAAAGUCGGUCUAUAAGGGGGUAUAAGGUUACUGCCUAUAAAAUGGUAGUUUAAUGGGUUUCCACUCUCACCCACCGCUUCCUUGACUGGUGGAGGGUCGUUAGUUGAACAGGUAGGACAAGGACUAUAAUUCUCUCUUUAUUAAAAGUACUAAUGAUAAAUAUAAAGUAAUUAAAUGUUUUUAUAAUUCCCAAUCUUAGUUAUUUUAGGAAAAUGUGAAUAAGGUGCUAAUCCAUGAAGUUACACUUUGCACUUUGUUUAAGUCGGUUAGUGGAGAGUGUGUGGUCAACCGGCACACUAAGCUUGAUUUAACAAUGUAGGAAAAGGAUAACUUAAUGUUUAUCAUAGUAUCGGUGGAGCAUGUGUGGUUAACCGGCACAUCGAUUAGGGGGUAAAUAAUAAGGGUACCAAGUAAUUUGCAUGGUUACUUCACACCUUGUUUUGUGAUCCUCGGCAUCCCAGUCACAAAACUUGAAGGGAACACUCGAGAUUGAAACAUGCCAUUGAACAGUUCAAUGAAUCUCAAAAGAUAUAGGAGUUUCAAAUUCAAUUAAAAAACCUAAUAAAUUAUUUUGUUUUUCAUGGUGGAAAUUGGUGAAUCGUCAUUCACCUACCUUCAAAUAUUCUAUACCUUGGAUUACGGCAUCCCUCUUCCAAGUUAUAAAAUAUUGUGUUGGGUCCUAGCCUUAAUAUUUCAUAUUGGGUGUUAUAUUAAGGACUUUAAAUCAACUAUGUUGAAUAUCUCCCAAAAAUAUGUCUAAGUUUAGACAUCUAUGAUCUUCCCAAAUCUCUUGGAACUUCACUUCCUCCACCUCGUUCAAUUAUUCUCCCUAACCCACAAGUUCAAGGUGACUCUAGCCCUAUUGGCAAGCAAGGUCUAUGUGUGCUGACAUCUUGGAGAUGAAGUCACAUAUUGACAAGUCAAGAGAGUUGUGUGUUAAAGUCUUAUGAAAGUUGGAUGUUCAAUCAAUUUCUAAGUCACAUAGUGAGUUACCUUUACGACUACUAUGAAAUAGACUAUGACAUGACCCUUAAUGAUCUUAUCUAUUUGCUUGGUGCUACUGAAUCACAAUGAUUUGGAGCUUUGGUAAAGCAAAUUUGAUUAGUAGAUCAACUUUCCAAACCUUCAAUGGACAUUGACAAUGGUUGCCUUGGAUACCUAGUAAAAGCUUUCUCUUCCCAAUGGAAAGGGAUUGGCCAUAGUCAACUCGGUUGACCAAAUGGUAAAGAGAAAGGAUAAGUCUGAGAUUGUCCCAUGUACCAUUCCGAAACGGUCCAUAUGGUUCAAUUGCUAAAAGGAAAGGGCAUUGGUUGCGAAGCUGCCAAAUUUACCUGAAAGAUCAUAAGGCUGGUAAAGUUAAUAAGUUUGACUCUACUUUAGGUAAAGUCCACUAUUUAACUCGGUUAAGUUUCUAUUCUGAGAUUAUUAUUACAUGAUGUGACUGGGUCACAUGUUGAUGUUUUAAUAAUCAAAGGAAAAGUGAAGGAAACUUAAAGAAAGAUUAUGUUGAAUCUGACCGUGAAGAUGGAUUUCUAUCGCUUGAUUGAAGAUCUGAUUCCUGAGCUACUCUUUGGAGUUAUGAUAGAUUGCUAGGAAACAUGUAAUAGCAUAGUUUUCAUUUAAAGUUGCAUUGUAAGGAAAAAAAUUUCCACAUUUUAUACAGAGUAAAUUACUAAAAUCGUCCCUAUGGUUUGAGUAAAAUUGCACAUUUAGUCCCUAACUUUUAUUUUGCACUCGGAUCGCCCUAUGGUUUGGUCAAAAUUACACAUUUGGUCCCUAAAUUUAUGUAUUCAAGGGACGAAAAACGCAACAAAAUCAAACCAUCGGGAGGAUCCGAGUGCAAAAGAAAAGUUAGGGACCAAACGUGCAAUUUUGACCAAACCAUAGGGACGAUUUCAGUAAUUUACUCUUUUAUAAAUAAAUAAUAGUUUGUUUUACUUUAUUUUAUAUCUCCUUGCAAUGGAAUUUAUGAAAACUUGAUGUUUGUAUGUUUCUAGCAAUAUUGAAAAUAUGAAUUUGAUUCUUUUAUUUGUGGUAUUGUCUCAAUUUACCAAAUAAGGAAAGCUUCUCAUCACCCAAGUUUUCAGUUGGAUAGAAACUUGGAAUCAUACAAGUUGUACAGUAUGAUGAAUGAGAACUUUCAGCUUUGGAAAAUUAAAACUAGUUCCUUAUUCACAUGUAUAUGUGAGUCAAAUGAAGGACUAAGGUAUCGAGUACACAUUCUUGUUCACUGAUCAAGUCUACCACAAAAGAUCGAUAAGACUAUGCAUCAUGAUUUACUAAAAUUUAGUAAAUUUGAUUACACUUACAAGUAUAAUUCUAAAACAUUGCAAGAGUGUCGAAUGAGAAGAAUCAAAUUAGGCAGAAGGAUAAAAGCUUCUCAAAUCUGAAAAGAUGGGAGAGUACUUUAAUAUCAUGUCUUGUGUUCAUCUUAAUGAUUAAGUAACCAUGUCAUAAUUGGUCGUCUAAAGACAUCUUAGUGCAUUCUUAUGACUAAGAAGAGGAAUCUUGGAAUGGUUAAGUCAAGAAUAUGAUUCAUACUUCAUUCCAAAACAAGUCUUAGAUUCAUACUCCAAGACUGUAAGUUGAGUGACAUAUCUUAAAGAAAGAUUUAAAACACUUGUCAAAUGCAAGAGUAAAACUGUCCUACUCUUGUACAUUUGAAAUUGGUAAGUUGUGAUGUUUUGGAUUCAACAAAGACCAACUUAGGCCAAGUGGGUGAAGUGUUUGUCUUGAUAAAGAAUCUGCACUAUCUCUUGAAUAUUUGACAAGAUAGUCUUAUAUGUCAAAAAGGACAGUAGGAGUCUUGGAGAUCCUGAAAGAAUUUCAAGAUCUAAUCAAAAAUAAAAACUUGUAGUUUAACACUAGCACAUGACGUGAAGUUUAUAACCUAUCAUGUUGUCAUAUUUCUAUUUCUGUGCCCAUUCUAGUUAAAGUUGGUUUUUCAUAUGAGUUCUUAGAGUUCUCAGUUGGUUGCAUAACAACUUGGAAGCAAUGACAGGCCCUUGAGCUGCCAUGUGGCAAGAAAUUCAGAUUGAGUUCAGUCCAUAUGAAUUUAGAUUUGUCAUUAUCCUUCUCUUGUGAUUAUGGUUUUGACAAAUCCACAUGGAUAAGAACACAUAAACCAUAAAAUCUAUGUUUCAUAAGGUUUCUCUCCAAUUCAUGAAAAUGAUUGUGAGGAAACACUUUCGCUAAGUAGAUUUUAACUACAUAGCAAUUAUGAUAUUCGCAUUCUUAAAGUCAGUAGUGGAGCAUAUGUGGUUAACCGGAACACUAACAAGGACUUGUGAGAAAUGAAAAAGUUCUAAACAAUUGAGACUAUGAUUACGGCAUCCCUUUUCAUAGUUCUGAAAUUGUUUAGACACACAUGUCUGCUAUCAAAGCAUUUCAUAUCAGAAGUCUGAACUUUGGUAUGAAAAUCAAUAAAUUAUUGAUUUCUAGAAGUCCAGUUGAUUUCUGAGUACAUGUCAAAGCAAGUGUAUUAUGCUAAUAAUCAUCAUGUUAGUGGGAGCAUGAUAAUUAUUGUUAGUAUUGCAAGAUAGCAAUGUUAAUUACAGUUGAUGAGUUGAAAACUCUUAGAUCGAUUAGAUCUUCAACAGGUUAAUCAAUACAAACAAACAAACACAAUAAACACAAUAUAGAAUCAAGUAAUGCUUAAUGAUUCAAAUGUAGUCACGCCUCAGCAGAGCUCGUUGAAGAACUUCCACUGUAGAGGCAAACUAGGGUUUGUAGUACAAUUAAUAAGAAGAAUAAAUGAAAGCCUAAACAUAAAGGAUGCAUGCAUGCACCAUAAAUACUAAACCCUAAUAAAAUAAACACGAUUGGACAGGCCCAAACCGGAUAACAAAAUUGGGCUAAGGACCGAGCCCAAGGGCACAACACUUCUAGACCCAACAAUCUCCCCUUUGCGUCAAUUGGGGCGAGACUUCACUUCGGUGGAGGUUGAGUUCGCUUCACAACCUAGAAUAGUCGUAGAAUAAUGGCAAGAAGAGUCUGUAUGAAAGCCAUAUAUAUACCAAAGCAUAUCAGAGAACUUCUUCUUGUUUGCCUCACUAUUCUGAUCACACCCAUGGAUAAGCUCAAGAAUGUGCUCCAAGCAGGAAUUAGAAAAUAGAUGUUUGUCAGCCAGAGCAAAUAAGCAUUUUUGACCUUCGCCUCUGAGAAACAUGACUGUUUGAGACUAUGGAUCAAUUUUUCCAUUCACCAUUAGCUUAGUGUCGCCUGCCUUCCAGAUUGCCUUGAUUAAGGACCUCUUGUGUAUAGCAGCAGCAAUCUUCUGGUCCAUCUUUGCCACUUCAUGAAUGUAACACACUAGCAUACGCUUGACGUGAUCUAAGAUUGGCUCAUAUUCCUUCUGAUUGGAGAGUAGAAUGUUAUUCAGCAGAAUCCAAUCAAGUGGAUUCAGAUUUGGCAAAUCGGCAAGAAAGACCAUGUGGACCGAACCAUUUGAUCAUCGGGUCACUUUGAACUUGAUAUUAAUGAACUUCCCUGCUGCAGUAGGUUUCAGCACCUUGACUGUUGUGAUCUUCUUGUUACUCCAGGUUAGGUACUGAUGUAACACUGUGAAUUUCAAAAUAAUUUUUCGCAAAAUAUAAAACAUUUUUCAUUUAAUUUUCAUAAAACAUCAAGUUUAAAACUCCAAUUCACAUCAUACAAAAUCCCAAGAUCACAUAUCAUAAAAAUCCCAUGCGUGUGUACAGAUCAAGUCGGCGCCUUCCCAGGGUCAUCACUAGUACCUGAAACAAACAACACUAUCACUGUAAGCACAAAGCUUAGUGAGUUCCCCAAAAUACCACACAUAACACAUAUUAGCCACUCGAGGCUAUAACUCUGUGGGUCCGUAGACCCUACUCUGUGAACCCACUGGUUCUAACUCUGGGAACCUUCCGGUUCCAACUCUAUAAGCAUGCACAACAUAAAUCACAUAGACAUCAUGCAGUACAACACAUAACAUACACAUACUCUGUCACAUAACUCUAAUUACCUACUCAAGGUAAAGAAUAGUGAGAAGACUCACCUCGUAUAUCUCGAUAACUCGUGAAUCCUGGAAAUCACUCGUGCUCGAUCGUCCGAGCUAUAAUCCUCCUAUAACAUCAUAUAUCUCUAAUUAACACUUUUACCACUAAGGUUGACUACCCCUAUCAAGUCAACACUGGUCAACUCUGGUCAACGGUCAACGGUCAACUUUGACCGGACUCGGCGAGUGCACUAGAGCGACUCGGCGAGUCUAUACGUGUUCACUGACUCCCUAGGAUCCUCUCUUGACACGUCGAGUACUCCCCUGACUCGACGAGUUCCACCUGGCAUGAAUCGCGGGGCCACCACGACUCAACUCGCCGAGUCUCAAGAACAACUCGGCGAGUUCCAGCUCGACUCAGUCCACCUGUCAACCCUCUCUAACUCUCCCUGACUCACUGAGUCAACCCUUAACUCGGCAAGACCACUCGCUGAGUGGUUAAGGACAAUCUUCAUGCUACUCGCCGAGUCUGUUCUUCAGAAUCAGCGAGUCCAUGCCAUGCAUCAACUCAAUCUCGCUUCUAAUGUCAGAUCCGCUCCAUCCACUCAUAGAUUUGGCCCUCCUAAGCUCAUUCAUCACGUAAAGUCACAGUCUUGGCUACCAUGCAACACCUAGAAGGCUCUUUUUGAAGAAAUGACUUCUAAGCUGGCAACCCUCGUCUCCAACCCAAAAAGGAAGGACAUAAAGCAUGGAAUUUGGGACUCUCUGGACCUGCUAAGGUCCAGAUCUAGGUACCAUAUCCCCAUGGGACCUCUCACACUUCAAUUACAAAGCAAACAAGGCAUGAAGAAACCCUAGAUUUGACCAUAUCAACAAAAAUACGGAAAUAAGCUCUGAAUGAUACCUCAAGAGGCUUCCCCUGACGAAAUGAAAGUAGAUCCAAGUUCCCCAACUCUUCUAGCUUGACUUUAUCCUUCUUUUCUUGCAAAUACACACAAAUUUGGUGAAUAAUGGCCUCUUAUCUCACUCACAAGAACCCUCAGCUACUUUGGUGCUCUCAAGGUCAAGGUAGCCGCAAUGAAGGGCCAUAAGGUCCUUUAAAUAGGGCUUAGGACCGGGAAAUUAGGGUUUCAUUAAAUAACGCGGACUCACCAAGUCCAUUGCUUGGACUCGCCGAGUCCAGGCGCGAACCCGCGUCCAGAACUGCGAUUCUACUCGGCGAGUUUGAGCUCUAAUUCGCCGAGUCCCCUCACAAAACACCAAAUAUAUGAAUAAAAGAUACCUGCAAAUUCGGGAUGUUACAACUGAGGUUGAGAGAAUUCAUGAUAGUAGUCAAGCAAGUCUUGAUCAACCUUCAGGUCAGGAGAAGGAAUUGCCACCGUAGGCUUAAAGUAGUUAAAGAUGAAAGCCUUAUGAGUGAUUGGCAUAUCGAAUUGAGAAUCAUUAGAAUUCUCGACAUUGAAGAAAAGAACAGGCUCUAGCCAAUGUGAACUUCGAGCUUCAAUAACCUAUUCAAUUCUCUCUUCUCAUUCUCCUUAUUAAUCGCUUCAGUAACUUUUUCCUUAAUCUCCUUAGCAGUAGGCUUGGCUUUAAGAGGACUUGGUUUAGGAACCGUUUCUUCAAUAUCAUCAACAUCGUCCUCCUCAUCAUUAUCAUUAGCAAUUCCUUUUCCUGAAUCCUGCAUAGCCGAACCCGAAGCUUAUUUCCCUUUCGGUUCAGUAACCACCUUCGAUUGUUGUGGUUUCGGGUGUUGAGGUUUCGGUUGUUGAGGUUUCAAUGGUUAGGAUGAAGACUUCAUUUCUUCUCCACCUUGUUGCGAAGAGACAACAGACUCCAGAAGAUCCUCCAUCCGGCUUAGAAUAUCAAGAGCAGGCCGUAACUUCUCAGUUAAAUGAUGUCUAACUGAGAUGGUAAGAACUGAAUCGUAGGCUUCAAGAAGAUGGAGAAGAAUGGAGUGAACAGUACCAACUGAGCUUUUUACCACAGACCUCUCCGAACACAGUGCUUAAGCUCCUUGCUCGCUUGAUUGAGCUCCAGAGUCUGGGUUUUGAGUUGAGUGGUCUUCAGAGCAAGUUCAUCCAUCACUUUGCUUUCCAAGGUAAGAACAACUUGAAGUUUAUCCAAAGGUUCAGAGACAGAUGCCUGAUGUUUAAUGUGAUCAAAGGUGAGGUUCUUGCGAAACUCCUCAAAGAGCUCUUUCUCUUGUUGAAGAGAUUGAGUGAGGGUCUGAACUGAGGCAUUGACCUUGUUGACGUUUUGCGCUGCAGCACCCUGUAAAGACUCAAGGAAAAUAUUUGUGUUACAAAAUUAGUUUAUCGACUAUUUCUGUCUAUUUCGUGCAAACCUUUAUUGACGCAUCAAUUGCUGAAGUGGAUUUGGUGAUUGACGCUUCGUGUUCUUUAACCCAGGUGGCCAUUAAGCCUUUUAUGGUAGACUCAGAAGAAGAAUCCUAAGUUGAGGAGGCGCCCAUAAGCUUAUCUAGCUUGUCAUUCAGCACCUUGAGAUGGCAUUUGGUAACAAGGGCAUCUUCAUCAUCGUCGCUUUGCACCCUGUAGGGACUAUAGUAGAAGAUGUCGAAAUCGACAUCUUCACCACCAAGAACGGUAUAGGUCUCUGUCGAUUGGCUAGGUGAUGGAGGUUUUGGUAGUAAUAGGAGUUUCGGAUGCUGAAGUACGAACCCUUGUAUCAGAUACAUUGGUCUGAACUCCAGUAGUGGUUGUGGUUGUAGCUUCAGAAAAUAUAGGUGUAGGAAUGGGAAUGGUGCAGGAAGGUUGAGAUGAGAUGAUAGGAAAAAUUUAAGGAAAGGAAAUAGGAAUGGAAACAGGUGGAGGAGAAGGUGCUUGGGAAUGAACAGAUACAUCUGGUGUAGGCGAACGAGGUGGUGUGCCGCCACGAACCGAACCAUCAUCAUCUGAUCUUUCGCUCUCAGAUUCACUUGGAAUGAUGGGUUGAUGACCAUUAGGCACGUACUCUAAGUCGGAGUCGCUUAAUCAUGCAAGAAUAAGCUUCCGCGCAGGUUUAUUGACCUUCUUCUGCUUGGGCUAGGAAGGUGUUGCCUUCUCAGACUUUCGCUUCUUUGGAGAGUGAACCUUUGAUACUCUACCUCCUUUUUCUCCCUUUUUCGCUUCUUGCUUCUUGCCCCUCUUAUGCUUCUUCAAUAGAAAAAAUUUCUGGAAUAAGUUCCCUUAGACCCGAGGAAGGGAGUUUCUUGUACUCCUGAAUAAGCUUGCUUGCAGGGGACACACAAGCAUACAUUGACUCUGUAAUUGAUCCAAUGAAGUGAAACUUUGAGGGAUGAGUGACAAUGAUAUUUGCGGUAUGAAAUGUAGCAAUGGAAGAGAAUAGUGAAUCUGCCAUGAUGGGAACAUGAUAACGCUCCAUUAUCCAUUGAGUGACAAUGGUCCAAAAACGGGCACAAGAAAUUUCUGUGUAGCGAGAAGCAGAUGACAAACUUUGGACUAGUUGAAUCCAUAAAACCAAACCAUAAUCAAGGUUGAUACCAUGGUACAACCCACAAAGUAGAUUCAUGAAAGACUUGCUAACACCAUUUGAUCAUGCACUUCGUUUUGAAAGCCCUUUGAAGAGCAGGGUGAAGAGUCCAUUCCAUUGAGGAGGAGCGCAUAAUUUCUUGAUCUUUGUCACAGUAGUUAGGGUUUCAGUGUACCCCAUGUUGUAAAACAUCGAGAAAAGCUGACCUGUGGAGAUGGAAUCAGGAUUCACCAUGGAUUCUUCAUAAGUGAGCCCUAGUAGCGAGCAAAAUCGGUUCUUGGAGAUUGAGGCCUUCUGGUUUAGAAUACUUAAGAUAUUCCACCACGUGAUGCAUGUAAGUAUCGUAGAGGAAUAGUGUGAGAUCAAUCAGCAAGUUUUGGUUCAGCUCGAUUGCGAGAAGAGUGGAGCGUGUAGAGGUUUCUUGAACGGAAGAAGACUCUUCCAUUGUUGAAGCCUGAUGAAGAGGAAGAUGAACAGUGAGAACCAAAUCGCCUGAAAUCGUCUUUUUGCUUGGGAGAGUAGAAGUGUGGUAAAGAGUAAUAUCACGGUAAUCAAAACCCUUAUAUACGAUUUUGUGGAGAGAGAAAAAUCAGGAGUAAUGAUUCCACCAAUUUGGGACACGGCACCUAGAAAGGCGUGAUUGGACAACUAGCAACCCCGAUAAAGCAGCUGAUGACGCAUGAUUAGGUAACGGUUCAAGUUCACGCGCCUUUCCAUACUUAUCCUCUUUUCAAAUCACCAAUCGAUUAAGCUUCCUGCUGACUCAUCUCUUGAAUCUUUAAUAGAAUCGUUAUCGCCAUAAUUAACCAAGGCUUUAUACCAAUGCAUCCCUUUGUAUGUAAAUAACUGCAUUACACCAUAAGGAAUUGAAGCUAUAUAUUUGUGAAUAGCUUGUGAGUAACCGAACUAGACUUUUGGAAAAUCCAAGAUUUUCAUGCAAGAUAGUGUCAAAGAUAAAGAAAUAAAUCAAACUAUUUGUGGGAUUUUGUAAUGUCAUUUAAGACACAAAGUAGUGGAUCCCGGGCACGAAUCUCUUCCUUUAAAGUCAAGAAAGACUUCAAUGUGCUUGUUUGGAUUCCCAUUGAAAUACGAUCAAGUACUUGUUAAGAAGCAUUGAAAGGCAUCUUUUGUAUAUAAGGCUAUUAAGGGUGGCUUUCGCUUCAAUUCUGGUUUCGGUACUUGACAUAAGACCAAAAUGGAACGAAGUACUUGUGAGACCGAUGUGGCCUAUUAAACAGGUAGGUUUGGAACAUAUUCAUUGACUUGUUGACAAUAGAUAAUUAGAAAUCUCAACGAAAAAUUAAAAUUGGAUCCUUUGGGAAGAAAAGUCUUGGUGAUAGACAUUUUCAUAAGAAUCUCUCAAAAAUAACAGGAGAUUUCAAGGUACAUCCACAAAAGUGGUUUCGUUAAAUCAAAUUUGAUAGCUACAACAUUUAAUUGUUCACCGUCAAUGCCGUAUAUGUGUUGAAUUUUGGGUUUCACUUAGCUCACAAUGGCACAAAACUAAGAUCAUUAACACAGAAUUUGUGUAACCAUAAACCUCAGUGGUAGUUUCUGAGAGUCUCAAGGGUUACAUUUAUGAAACGAAUUGUGAUGGAGAAAAAGUUUGAGGUGGUUAAAGAGCCAAAUGUACCUCUGCUAUAAGAGAUGGACCAAGCAGAAGAACUCUUGACUCAAUUGGAGAAGAGUAAGGUAGCUCAUGAAUAGAGUGAAUUUGAUAGUCUGAUUGGGUAGACGUGAUUUUUAUGUAUCAAGUCAUUAAGGCUUUACUCAAAAACGUUGGAGGCUUGGGUCAACAUGCAACAACAUGCUUCUAGAGACACUUAGCUAGUACAUAGAAAAAGAAUUAUACCUGCACCAACUCCAUCAUUGUGAAUAGACCUUAUACACUAAUUAAAUUAAGACAGAAGCAAAUUGAAAUAAAAUGAAAGAAAAUGUUUUUGAAUUAUGAUUUGAGUUUUCUGAAAAAAAAUAGAAAUAAAAAUAUUUUUGGAUUUUAUUAGAUUUUCCGAAAAAGAAUUAAAAACUAAAAGAAAAAUAUUUUCGGAUUUUAUGAAAAAAUAAAAAGAAAAACAUAAAAUAAAUUACGAGAAAAAGAAUAUACACACUAUACAACCGAAUCCAUCACUUGGAGACGAGAAGCGAACUAAUCCCAGUAAGAACGAACCCGAAAUGGACUGAGCAUUCGGCUCAUUUCGGUUCCCAAAAGAACCGAACCCUAAAUGGACUGAGUGUUCGCUCGAUUUCGCUUCUAACUUUUAUUGAGACAAAAGUGAUUUUGGUACAGAUUUAACUUCCAUCUUUCCUAGGCCUUGUAGGAUUUUAUUAAAACUUGCUUCACGCAUGGCCUUAGUAAAGAUGUCAUCCAAUUGAUCAGUGGUUCUUACAAAAUGAACUUUUACAUUACCAUCUUCCACAUGAUCCUUGAUAAAAUGAUACCUCAGUGUUAUGUGCUUCGUCUUUGAGUGUUGCACUGGAUUAUGACAAAUCCUAAUUACACUCUAUGAGUCACAAUAUAGUGGGAUUUUCUUCAUGUUCAGGCCAUAGUCUUGAAGUUGACUUUGUAUCCAAAUGACUUGAGAUGUGCACAACGAUGUAACUAUGUAUUCUGCUUUGGUAGUGGAGAGUAAGACACAUCCUCCAAGAGCAGUUGAGAUGUGCACAACUAACCAGUUUGCCAUCCAGAAAUUGGCAUCCUCCAGUGGUACUCUUUAGGUCCAGUCCACAUCCUCCAAGAGCAGCAUCAGAGAAUUCUUGGACAAAGAACCCUGACUUGGAUGGGUACCAUAGACCAAGCGAAGAGGUUCGCAUCAGGUAUCAAAAGAUAUUCUUCACAGCUAGCAGGUGAGGUUCGCAUGGAUUAGCUUGAAACCUAGAACAAUAGCAACCAGAGAACAUUAUGUCUGGUCGACUUGCUAUUAGAUACAUCAGGGAUCCUAUCAUCCAACAAUAGAGGGUCAUGUCAGUAGUCGGUUUGUCUAGAGACGGUGUUAACUUUGUGCCAAACGACAUAGGAACCUUUACUUUCGAAUCUCCCAUUAUUCCAAACUUAGCAAGCAAAGUUUUCAUGUAAGCCUCUUGAUUAAUCACAAUGCCUUCAGGUCCCUGACUAAUAUUUAAGCCAAGGAAAAAGUUAAUAGGACCCAUUGAGCUCAUUUCAAAUUUACUCUCCAUCAACUUCCUAAAUUCAGCUGUUAAGCCAGGAUUUGUGGAACCGAAGAUGAUAUCAUCAACGUAAAUUUGGACGAUCAUAAGGUGGUCACCCUCUUUCUUAUGAAAGAAGGUUGGGUCAACCGAUCCUUGUUUAAACUUUGACAUUUUAAGAAAUCUAGUUAGAGUUUCAUAACAUGCCCUUGGUGCUUGCUUGAGACCAUAGACAGCCUUGUCCAGAAUGUAGCAGUGAUCUGGAUACUUCUCAUUCAUGAAACCUGGUGGUUGCUGUACAUACACCGUCUCUUCCAGUUCUCCAUUUAAGAAGGUGCACUUCACAUCCAUUUGGUACACUUCAAAGUUCUUGUGUGUAGCAUAGGCGAGAAAAAUACGAACUGAUUCUAGCCUUGCUACUGGAGCGAAGGUAUCUUCAUAAUCUAUGCGUUCUUCUUCUCAGUAACAUUUCACAACCAAUCUUGCCUUGUUGCGAAUCACAGAAGCAUCCUUUGGUGUUGGAAUCAGUCUCCACACUUUGUUUCGCUCGAACUCAUUGAGUUCGUCCUGCAUUGCCUGUACCCAAUCAGAAUGAUCGAGGAUAUUGUUAAUCGUCUUCGGUUCAACCUUGGAGACGAACGAAUUAAACAUGCAAAAUUCCACUUUAGAGAAUAGUGCAGUUUGUUUUGCUUUCAGUUGUGAUCGUGUGAGAACUUUUUCAGUUGGUUUACCAAUAAUUUGUUUUUGUGGAUGAUCUUUGGUCCAUUUGGAUAGAGGAGGGUAAUUAAGAUCAUAAAAGGGAUCCAGUUCAGCAUUCACUUCUUCUUCGAAUUCUGACUGAAUAUCAUCAUCUUUGUAUUCGCAUUCUCCCCCUCGAAUGAUGAUACUUCCUCAGCUUCAGGCUUAGAAUUCUCCCCCUGGAAUGGUGAUUCUUGGUUAUUUGGAGAAGAUGACCCCUCUCCCUGAACAUAAGAACUAUCUUUUGGAGGUUCGCUUGAGUCAGGCUGUUCGGUUUCUGUCGUCUCGUUCCAUGACGAGUCGAGCUUUGUUACCUAUCUCAUUCUGGGGGUAUGCCUUAGAUACUGCCAGGCAUAUCCUUAAUCUAGUCCCUACAACGAAGGUCGCCAAAACACCUCACGAAAUGUGGAUUGGGAAGGCUCGCACAUUAGACCACGUCAAGGUUUGGGGUUGCGAGGCUUUCAUGAGGCGCGAGACUCACAACAAGCUCGAACCUCGGAGUGAGCGGUGUAUUUUCAUCGGCUACCCAUAGAAAUCCUUUGGUUAUCUAUUCUACAGACCGAGUGACAAUGUUGUCUUUGUUGCAAGGAGAGGAGUCUUUCGCGAGAGAGAGCUCAUAGGCCAAGGAGACAGGUGAAGGAAUCUCAAACACUAGCGAUCAACCUGAGGAGGAGACUCCUGUUGAGCCAAUUGAGGAGUCCAUACCUCUGAGGCGUUCCAGUAGAGUUAGUGUUCCACAUGCGUUAUAUGGUUUCCAUAUAACAUCUGAGGGUGAUACAUUUAUUAGUGAUAGCACACUGAUAAAUUUGGAUGAACCUAACAACUACAAGGAAGCCAUGGUGGGCCCCGAUUCUGCCAAAUGGAAAGAGGCUAUCGACAGCGAGAUUCAGUCCAUGUAUGACAAUCAAAUUUGGAACUUGGUUGACAAUGUACCGGGUCGUAAGACAGUCGGGUACAAAGGGAUCUUCAAGAAGAAGACCGAUAUGGAUGGGAAAGUACACACUUAUAAGGCGCGACUGGUUGUGAAGGGCUUUACUCAAACUUCGGGAGUUGAUUAUGAUCAGACCUUCUCACUAGUAGUGAAGAUUAAGUCUAUUAGGGUUAUCCUAGCCAUUGUCGCUUUUCAUGAUUAUGAAACAUGGCAAAUGGAUGUCAAAAUCUCUUUCCUUAAUGGAAAGUUGGUUGAGGAUGAUUACAUGAGUCAACCAUAGGGUUUUGUCAAAGCAAAGUACCUAAUAGAGUGUAUAAGCUUGAGAAAUCCGUUUAUUGAUUGAAACAAGCAUCUCCUAGAUGGAAUCUUUGUUUCGAUGUGAAAGUCAAAUAGAUUGGCUUUUCAAGAAGCAAGGAUGAGUCUUGUGUAUAUGUUAAGCCUUGUGGGAGCAUAGUUAGCUUUCUGGUAUUAUAUGUGGAUGACAUACUACUUAUAGGAAAUGACAUCCCAACCUUGCAGGAGAUUAAGUCCUGGCUUGGGAAGUGUUUCGCUAUGAAGCACCACGGAGAAGUUUCCUAUAUUCUUGAGAUAAGGUUAUUAAGAGACAAGAGUAAGAGACUAAUUGGACUUAGUCAAAGAACCUACUUGGAUAAGGUGUUGAAAAGAUUCAACAUGCAGGAUUCCAAGAAAGCUGACUUAUCGAUGCAGAGCAAUGCCAAACUGAGUAAAGCUCAGUGUCCGAGUACAGAGGCUGAAAUAGUUGAGAUGAGUCGAAUACCAUAUGCUUCCGCCGUUGGCUCGAUCAUGUAUGCUAUGACUUGUACUUGUCCUGAUGUGGCCAUUGCUUUGAGCAUGGUCAGCAGAUAUCAAGGGAAUCCUGGCAAGGCUCACUGGACUGCAGUAAAGAACAUUCUCAAGUACCUGCGGAGGACUAAGGACUAGGUCCUUACCCUCCAUGGGAGUGAUGACUUGAGAGUGGUGGGGUAUAGCGACGCUAGCUUUCAGACGAACAGUGAUAAUUUCCGCUCUCAGUCGGGCUGGGUCUUUACCCUGAAUGGAGGAGCAAUAACUUAUUAAAGUUCCAUGAAGGAGACAGUAGCUGAUUCAACUUGCGAAUCAGAGUAUAUAGCAGCAAGCGAGGCGGCGAAUGAGGCAAUAUGACUGAAAAACUUCAUUGGAGACCUUGGAGUUGUACCAGCUAUAAUGGAGCCUAUGGAGAUUUUCUGUGAUAGCGAGAGUGCAGUAGGCUUAGCCAAGGAACCAAGGGAUCACGGCAGAUCCAUGCACAUCGACAGAAAAUACCACGUCAUUAGACAUCGAAUAGAAGAAGGAAUCCUCGUGGAAAAGAGGUUAUCAUCACAUGAGAACCCAGCAGAUCUCCUCACGAAGAGACUGAGUGGGGUUAAGCAUUUACAGCAUCUGAGGCACAUUGGGAUGAAGGAUGAUAUUAUUUUUAAUGAUUAGAUAGCUUUCGAAACAUGUAAUAGUUGAAAUGUAAUUGACAUUUAAUGUUUAAAUAAAAGGUGCAUUUUAUUUACUAGUAUGGUACUGUCUUGAGUCAAUCAUUUGCUAUUGUUUCACUUUCCAUGUUUUGACUUCCAGAAUAAUUAUAUUAUUCAAACUAUCCACAGUCGAUCAUAUGUUGGAAGUAGGUAUUGAAUCAAGAUUGUCAUGAAUUUGGUUUGUAGAUUUUUCCGAAUGGUUCUAGACAUAGCAAAGUUUGCUGCAACAUUCAUGAGUGCUCAUAAGGUUUGAGUAUUGUAUUCAACCCGCGCUCACUUAUAUCACUUCAUGGAAUUUAUCUCGAGUGAUCGUGAGACGAUAAUAUCAUAUAAGUAUUCAAACCUAUAUAUAUAUAUAUAUAUAUAUANGAGACAUAAUAUCAUAUAGUCUUCAAACCAAGAUAUAUGAGUUUUUGACUAUGAAUUGGUUGUACACUGAUAGUACAAAAUCGCAUCGGUAACUCGAUGUUAUAAAACGUGGUGUUGUGUACAAUUUGAUGAAUAGUUAUUACAAGCAUAUGAGUUGAAGUUUAUCUGUUCCUUUUGUCCUUGGAGGAUUAAAAGCGAUAUCUUGGGCACCUCGAUGAUUUUGUCUUUACUUAUGUGUCGGGGCUGGUCAGAACUAAAUUGAUGUGUUCGAUUAAGUUCUAUGUCAAACAAAUCGAAAAUCGGGAAACAAACUGUUGGACAAUAAGUAUGACGUUGGUCCAAGAAAUUGUCCAGCUGAUAUAUUGAAUAGAGGAUUAUAUGAUCACUAAUCAAAAAUGGAGCGUCUCGUUUUGAUAGAGUCUUUUAAGAGCUACGAUUGCUAGUCGGUGUUUUAAGUUGUACUUGUAGUUAUAGUUAUUAGACUUAUCCAAGUGGGAGACUGUUGGAUUUAGUGUCUAAGCCCAUAACUAUAAUUGGUAUGUACUUGACCCAGGAGUAGCAUUGUCUAUUUGGAUUGCAUGGCACCGGAACAAUCUGAAGGAUGGACUUUUGAGAAGAGGAUAUUUAUGAUUUAUUAAUAUAUUAUAAUUUCUAAUAUAUUAAUAUGAAAGCAUAUUAUUUAAUUAGUAUUGAUCAAGAAUUAGUUUGGAAUUAAUUUUGUGAUCAAAAUAGACUAAUUAAAUAUAACAGGUUGAUUUGGUAAAUCAUUCAUUCUUAUAAAGUGGGCUAAUGAUCCAUAGUUCUUCAAGUUAGGCUAAACCCAUGUUGUGACCCAUGGAUGCUCCAAGGAGGUUUUAACCCAUGGAGCAUGAGGGAUAUGGAAGGUCAUUAGGGUUUACAUCUAUAACCCUAGUUUUCCACACUAUAUCAGACACCCUAAGGCUACCAAAAUUGGCACCUAAGUGAUAGGAAAAGAGGGUUAGCCGAUUUUGAGUGCUAGGAUACUUCUCUCAAAGGCUUAAGGAAUCACACUUGGGGUGCUAGGCUCUUAAAGGCUUAAGAAAUCAAACUACAAGAAAAGGUAUGUCAUUCUAUUAGAUUUGUGUAUUACAUAUACUUCAUGAUAUGAUAAUUAGGAUGAAACCUUAGAAAAAUGAAAGUUUGCAUGUAUAAUAGAGAAAACAUAGAUCCAAGGUUUCUAGGGUUGCAUGCACACCUUAGGAGUGUUAGAUCUUGGGUUUCAUUAAAAGGAAAAUAGAAAUAUUAAAAUCAAAACGCUGCCCGAGUUGGGAAUCAUCACUUUAACAAGUGAGUGCAUAGUUACUUUCAUCUUACACAUAGAUAUGAAAUAUUUAAUAUAAAUUAUGUGUUAUGUGUGCAUAUUAUUUGUGUUCCAAAUAUCUAUGCUAGAUGAAUGAUUUAUACAUGUUUACAUUAUUUAAACUGUAUAUGUAUUUUUAUACUUAUAAAUAUAUAUUGGGUUGCGACGGGUGAUGAGAUAUAGGUGAUGAAUUACGAGUUCAAGCGAUGUUGUAACUACAUAUUCAUCCGAUGUUACUCUAACCCUUACUAUGAAUUAAGAGUUUAGGCAAUGUUGUAACUACGUAUUCAUGCGAUGAUACUCUAACCCUUACUGUCAAUUACGAGUUCAGGAAAUGUUUUAACUACGUAUUCAUGCGAUGAUACUCUAACCCUUACUAUGAAUUACGAGUUUUGGCGAUGUUGUAACUACGCUUUCAUGCGAUGAUGCUCUAACCCUUACUAGACAUGAAAGGAGGGAGUAACCCCUGAAUCAGUAUUGUCUAUGUGAUGUAGGGGAUGAGCCAUAGGAAAAGUCCGUAGGAAUAAAUAUAUAAUAAAAUGCGAUGUAAGGAAAUGAGAGGUAAAUACGAUAUAGGAGAUGACCCUUCGGAUAAAUUUUUAGGGAAGAUUAAAUAAAGAAAAUGGGGAUGUGUAAUCGAGUUAAUUGUUUGACAUGAAUUAUGAAACAAAUUAACUAUAUUAUUGUGGGUUGAAAACCCUAUGUACUCACUAGGUUUCCCAACUUGACCCACUCAGUUUAAUUGUAUCACAGGUGCCGAUACAAAGCCACAUUACACUGAGAGGUUAAAGGGUAUGUAGAUCACUAAUGUAAAUAAAUGUAAGGUAUGUUUAUGCUUAUGUUUAUGUAUUGACGAUCACAUCCCAGAGUUUUAAAAUACGUUUCUUCGGAAAUGCUUUGAUAAUAUAUUUAUCAUGUUUUCUGGGAACAAAUUCCGCAAUACUACUUUUCAAAGAGGAUACUAUGAUUUUCAAAUCAGCAUAAAUAAUUGUUUUUUAAAUGAUCGUGAAUUUGGGGAUGUAAUAAUGGACCCGACUAGAUCGCACUACAUCCCCUGAAGACUUGUUAUGCAUUGAUUAUUACGAUUUUACUCUAAGGUUUAAGAAAUACAUUUUACUAUUAUUGGUUUUUGAACAAAUGUUUAUGUGAUAUGGGUGUCUUAAAAAUAAAUUUUUACUUAGUGUUUUUGGGAUGUUAUAAGUUGGUAUCUGAGCCUUGGUUUGAGGGUUUCGGGCACACUCUUAGGUAUGUCUGAACUCAAACUGUGGAAUUGGUAAAAAAAAAUUAAGAAUUUUUUUUAAGGGUUUUAACAAAAAAAAGGGUGUGAUGCGUGCAAUCAGUCGGUCUCAAGUAAGUGAUUCCCAAAACCCAUACAUGACUAUGGUGUGGCAAAAAUUCUCGAGUACUCCCUUUCUGCCCCUACUGAGGCGAGUUACAUAAUCAAAGUACUCCCCGAGUUAUUAUUUACCACAUACACAUGUGAUUUUUACUCUAUAUAUNNNNNNNNNNNNNNNNNNNNNNNNNNNNNUAUAUAUAUAUAUAUAUAUAUAUAUAUCUUAAAUUUAUAGUAAUUAUUCACAAAGUGAGACCAUUUUGUGUUUUUUAGUUUUUGUGUAUUCACAUGUAUCUAAUUUUGUUAUAUAUUUCAAUUAACUCAUGAUUUUUACAUAUAUAAUUUCCCUAAAAGUAUUUUUAUAGAAAUUACCGAAUCCGAGUACUCUCCAAGCACUUCCGAGUACUCGCUACACGGUAAUCGGCCAAACAGGUAUCGAGUAGCGAGUUCUACAACCAUGCAUGAGUAUUGUGCUUAGUAUGCUAUUGUAUGAGUUUCAUGCUAGAUUAGGGCUAAGUAUAACUUCAGGAAUUGCAUGAUAGAAUGGCCUGAUAUGUUUGAUGCAUGAUAGCCUAAAAUGAAGUGAAUGUUAUGUGUUAUUUGGAGUCUAGAUUGACAAGGUUAAUUACUAAGUGAAUGUUAAAAAAAUGUAUAUGAUUAGGACCAUAUAACCUUAGAAUGAUUGAUUUAGCCUUAUUUCAUGUUCAUUGUAUCUUUGUGGGAUUAGUGUAGAAUCAUUUAUUAAACAGUCUAUUUAAUCCAUUAGUGUUUAUAAUUUGCAAGCAUAAGUCAACCAACGGUGUUAGUAGAGGUUCCUAGUAUUGUAGAAGCAAGUGAGAUGUGUAUUCCUAAGAGAGCCUAGGGAGUGUUGUAAUGAUAUAUGUAUGUUCUAUAGCAUAGGGAUCUUGAGAAUUUCGAUAGUGGAGUGACUUAGAGGAUUCAGGAUGAUUCUUGAGGAAAGUAUGGAUAGGUGUGGAAAGUAGUAUUGGGCUCGUACUACUGAAAGCGCAGGAUCCGUACUUGAACCAAGGAAAAUUACGGAAAUCCUUAGGAGCUUUUAGUGUGAUGCUUCUCAUGAGUAUGUUUAGACCGUUUAUAUGUUUUCCUUUCAGUAUGGUGGUGAGCACUCAAGGAGGAGGUUCAGGUUCAGGCUUUGGUGCUAAGCUGAUUGAUGAGAGGAUACGUGAGUUCAUUACGUCAAAGAUCACUCAUGAUAUAUUGCAUGUGACUCCAGUGAUGUUUGGUACCAUCAAGGAGGGAAUAUGGAGUUGAUGCAUGAUCGCGUUGGGUCCUUUUAUGCAUAUAUUGCAGUUGGUUAGUUCGGGGCAUGUACACUCUCCUUUCGGGAGUUCAAGGCUUGCAGAUCCCUAGAGCUCUUUGGGAAGAAGAACCUUAUUACUAGCAGACAGUGGAUUUUAGAUAUGGAGAAUGCUCAGUGGACGAGUUUCUACCGUUAACGAUUGAAUGUGUGGUUUGCAUCUUUCCUUCUGAGAGAUCAAGCUUGCAACUGGUGAGAAGAGGUUGGUCAUGCCUUGAGAGUUGAGGAUGUGGGGGCCAUGACCUGGACUGAUUUUGUGACGAGAUUCGGGGUGGAGUUUGCACCUAUUAUUGAGGUACAACAGUUGAUGAGGGAGUUUCAGGACAUUCACCAGAUGACCAAGACUACGGAGGAGAUCAUCAUCAUGUUUGGGAUGAGGGCUUUACUAGUUCCAUUGUAUGUUGCGGAUGAGGAGAUGAAGAAGACGAGGUAUCAUAACAUGCUCAUGGAUGACAUUAGAGAGUUUGUGAGCAUGUCGAGUUACAGGACCUUAUAGGAUAUGAUUGCCAGAUCCCGAGAACUGGAGAUUGAGUUGGAUCUUUGGUUGAAAUGCAAUCCGAGCAGGUUCACAAAACGGUGGGCCCGGUGAAGAAGCCCCAUAAUUUUGACUCAUGAUCAAGAGGCUAACAGGGCUGGAUUCGUUGAGACAAGUGCAAGAAACUGUAUGAUGGGGCAUAUCGAGUGGGUGGUUGCUUCCAUUGCACUCGGGUAGCGGGGCUUGUCAUUUUAUUAAAGAUUGUAGUCUGGUAUCGGGUCUGAUUUGCUUCCAUUGCAAUCAGACGGGCCACAAGAAGGCUGAUUUUCUGAGGUUGUCAGGAGGAGCAGUAACGACACCCUUUCCCGCUACAUUGAGGAUCAAUGAUGGAAACCAGGUCAAGGUAUAGGCUCCAUGGUGAGGAUCAGAGAUUUUUAGUUGAUGGUUACCGAGGACACCCAAGUAGUGUCAGAUGUUGUUGCCGUUUUGUCUCUUUAUCAUGUAUUUUUCCUACUUUCAUUGUUUAUGCUUAUGUUUUAUUUUACUGUGUAUAUGGAUGUUUUUAAUCAAUGAUUUGACAGCUCAUGUUCUUUUUGAUUCGGGUGCUAAAUGAUCUUCCAUAUCUCUUUCGCUUAGCAAGAAGUUUUGUGAUACUCUAAGAGCUUUGGAUUACCCGCUAGAGGUAGACAUUAUACGCUACCAUACAGUAAGUGCUCCGAGUGUUCAUAGGGGUUGUGUUCUCAAGUUGUUCCACAAGAAGUGUCUGGUUUAUCUAGUCUUUAUUCCUCUAUGAGGGACUAAGAUUAUUAUGGGCAUGGAUUUCUUGAGCUAGAAUAGAGUUAUGAUUGAUUGUGAGUGUCAUCUAGUGAGAGAUCAAACACAAAGUGAGGGAGUACUGAUAAUUCAUGGUGAUGGCACUCAGCGAGUACCAACUUUUUUCUCAGCUAGUACUGACUUUUUGAUCAACUGCAAGGGCAAGGAGAUAUUUUUAUCAUGGAUGCUCUAGAUUUAUGGAUUAUGUUAUGGAUUCACAAGUUAUCAAGAGGAAGACAGAGGGUGAUGUCCCUAUCAUUUGAGAUGCUCUAGUUGUGUUUCCCGAGGUCUUACCGGGGGUGCCUCCUGAGAGGCAGGUUGUGUUCCGUAUCGAUUUGUUUCCAUGUGUGGAUGCAAUAGCUAAAGAACUGUAUCGCCUAUCAUCACCAGAGACGCAAGAGUUAUCUACGCCGCUACAAAAGCUGUUAGAGAAGGGAUUCAUCAGGCCGAGUAGUUUGUCGUGGGGAGCACCGAUCCUCUUUGUGAAAAAGAAUGAUGGUUCGCACAGGAUGUGCAUUGACUAUCAGGAGUUGAACAAGUUAACGGUGAAAGAAUCGUUAUCCACUCCUGCGGAUCAAUGAUUUCUUUGAUCAACUUCAAGGUGCAUCUAGGUUUUCCAAGAUUGAUUUUAGAUCAAGUUAUCAUCAGAUGAGGGUUAUUGAUGAGGACAUGUAGAAGAAAGCCUUCAUGAAUCAUUAUGAGUUUGUGGUGAUCCCAUUCAGGCUCACCAACACACCAAAAAUGUUCAUGGACCUCAUGAACCGGGUGUACAUGCCAAAUUUGGAUCGGUCUACGAUAGUAUUCAUUAUUGAUAUCUUGUUCUAUUCUACGACAAAGGAACAUUAUGAGGAGCACCUGUGAGAGGUUUUGGAAACUUUGAGGAAGGAUAGGCUUUAUGCCAAGUUCUCCAAAUGUGAGUUCUAGUUUUGCGAGGUGCAGUUCUUGGGGCACAUUGUCAACCAAAAGGGUAUAUUGGUUAAUCCAGCCAAUAUCAAGGCAGUGAUGCAGUGGGAGAUUCUGAGGACACCAUCUGAGGUUCGAAUUUUCCUUGGGUUAGUAGUGUAUUAUCAGUGGUUCAUUCAAGAUCUCUCUAAGAUUGUUUUCUCUUUGACUCGAUUGACGAAGAAGAAUGUUACUUUUCAGUAGGUGUCUGAGUUGCAGGCAACAUUUGAUACUUUGAGGUACAUAUUGUGUGAGGCUCCGAUUCAGACCCUUCCAGAGGGUAUGGACGACUUUGUGGUUUAUUGUGACGCUUCGAUUUUAAGAUUGGGUGCAUUGCUCAUGUAGAGAGUUCAUUUGAUUGUUUACGCAUCAAUGAAGUUGAAGCCUCGCAAGGAGAAUUGUCGUAUGCAUAAUCGGCAGUUGGCGUGGGGGGGGGNNNNNNNNNNNNNNNNNNNNNNNNNNNNNNNNNNNNNNNNNNNNNNNNNNNNNNNNNNNNNNNNNNNNNNNNNAGCUGGGGGCUGUGCUUUUUUCCCUCAAGAUUUGGCUACAUUAUUUGUUUGGGUCAGGUGUACUAUUUUUAUAGAGUGUAAGAGCUUGAAAUAUUUGAUGGAUCAGCCAAACCUGAAUAUGAUACAACUCGGAUGGUUAAAAGUGGUGAAUGAUUAUGUCUGUGAGAUUUUGUAUCAUCCUAAGAAGGUUGAUGUUGUGGACGAUGCCUUGAGUCGCAAGGCAGUGAGUACACCGAUGAGAGAUCUAUAUUUGAGGAUAGUUAUCAUUUCACCACUAUUAUAUAUAAUUAAGAAAUCACAGGUAGAGGAAUUAAAGAGGGAGAAUGUGACGGAAGAGAAAAUCACAGGACAGAUUAUGUUAUUUGUUAGAGAUAGACAUGGCUUAUUGACUUAGUGUUGUAGAGUAUUGGUUUUGGUUUUUGGCGGGGUUAGAAAUGUUGGGUUUUGAGCAUUCUAACACUCCUAAGGUGAAUAUGCAACCCUAAAUACCUUGGAUCUAUGUUUUCUCUACUAUACAUGCAAAAUUGAACAUUCCAAGGUAUUACCCUAACUAGCUUACAAAACUUUGAUAUUAGGGUAAUAAAACAAGUUAGAAGAUAUACCUUUUCUUGUAGUUGGUUGCUUGGAGCAUUAAGAGCUUAGUGCCCCAAAUGAUGCACCUCAAAUGGAAUCAUACAACACCACCAACAACUAGGAUGACUUGAUAAAAGAACACUUGGACUACAUGAAAUCAGCUAUCCCUCCUUGCCAAGACUCCUAAGUCACAUUUCGUGAACUAUGAGGCUUCUUAUAUAGUAUUGAUGAGAAUAAAACUCUAGAUCGAUAAGAUCUUUCACAGGUAUGAAUAUGAAAAUCAAACAAGACAAACACAGUAAGAGUAUGAACACUGAAUAGAAUCAAAUAUGUGCUUAUGUUUCAACAAAGUCACGCCUCAACAGAGCUUGAUGAAGAACUUCCACUGUAGAGGUGAGCUAGGUUUUACAAAACUCAAAGAGAAUAAUUAUAAAAGCGUUAACCCCUAAAACUGCAUGCAUGCAGCUUAUAUACUAAACCCUAAAACAAAAACAUGCACGGUUGGACAGGCCCAAUACCGGCAAUCAAAACUGGGCUAAGCACCGAGCCCAUGACGCAACAUAAUAAUCCCAACAAGUGUGUACAUUAGGGUUACACCAUGUAACUCAUGACUUUCCAUAUUCCUCAUGAUCCAUGGGCUUUAACCUCCAUGGAGUACCCAUGGGUCACCACAUGAGUUUAGCCCAACAUGAAGAAAUAUGGAUCAUAACCCCAAUUUAUAAGAAUGAAUGAUUUACCAAAUCAAUCCUCAUUUAUUUAAUUAGUCUCUUUUGAUUACAAAAUUAAUUCCAAACUAAUUCUUUAUCAAUACCUAUGUAGUCAAUAGCGGUGCUAUAGCGGCGCUAUAGCGGUUAGCGGAGGUAAGGAAACUCUAUUUCAAACUAGCGGUUUAGAAUAGCGGUGACGCUAUUAGCGCCGCGAUUUACCGCUAUUUACCGCGAUUAUGGUCACCACUAUUGCGGCGCUAUAACCGCUAUUUGAAUAAAUUUCAUUUUUGGGCUAUUUUACAUAAAAAAAAUUUAAAAAAAAUUAAAAAAAAAUAAAAAAAAAAAUAAAAAACAUUUUUUUGUGUCAUUCGAUUGAAUUGAAUUGUUUUUUCUUAGCCAAAAACAAAACUUUUGUGUCAUUCUAUUGAAUAAAAUUGUAAUUUUGUGAGUGUCAUGACUUCCAUUGAAACCAUGUAUAUGUUGUCUUGCUAAUUGUGUUGAAAACUUGAAGUACUACAUUGUGAUUAACUAUCAAAUUACUUAAUCAUUUCAUUUGAUAACUGUAAUUGUGUUUCAUAAAUGUAAAUGUGUUAAAGUAUGAUAAAAUAGUAAGUAUUGCAUAUGUUUUCUUGUUGACUGUGUUAAAAUAUGAUUAACUGGGGCAUUGGUAACCGGUUUGAGAAGUAAGAUUAACUAAUUAUGAUAUGUGAAGUAUGAUUAACUAAAUAUGAUAUGUGGGUUAUGAUUUAUUGAUUAACUAAUUAAUUGGAUUGGUUUGAACUUUAAAGUAUGAUUUACUGAUUAAUACUUUAAUAUAUACAAAUUCUAAAUAAUAUAAAAAAUGCUAUAUCACCGCUAUACCGCCGCAAGAACCUCCAUUUCAAAUAGCGGUCGAUGACCGUUAUUAUAUUUUUUACCGCGAUAAUUGCUUAGAUCAAUACUAAUUAAAUUAUAUGAUCUCAUAUUAAUAUAUUAGAACUUAUAAUAUAUUAAUAAAUCAUAAAUAUCCUCUUCUCACAAAAGUUUAUCCAAAUUGUUCUGAUGCCAUGUAACCCAAAUGGACCAUGCUACUCUCGGGUCAAGUACAUACCAACAAUAGUUAUGGGCUUAGACACCUAAUCCAACAGUCUCCCACUUGGAUAAGUCUAAUAACUAUUAUUGCAAGCAUGACUCCAACCCGACCAGCAAUCAUAGCUCGUAAAAGUCGUUGUCGCACUCUGAUCUAGUCAAUAACAUGUCCAUUAGAUAAGGGAUCAUAUAUUCCUCCAUUCUAGAUAUCAUAUGAACUGAGACAUGGAUUAUAAUCAAUCUAUAUGUCCAUCUGUUGUUUCCCUAUUUCCAAUUUAUGACGACCGACUAACUGAACAAAUCAAAUCAGUCCAGGCCUGAUGUAAUCACUAAAUGAUCGAAGGGCCCACAGAUAUCGCUUUCAUCCACAUGGGGUAAAAGGAACGGAUAAAAUUUGACCUAAAUGCUUGCUCGUACUUACUCAUCAAGUUACACACAACGAUAUGUUUUAUAACAACCAAGUUACUUGUGCGUUUACAUAUGUCAAUGUGCAACCGACUCGCAACUACAACUCACACGUCUUCGUUUGAAGAAUAUAAGAUAUUCUUGUCUCAUGAUCACUCAUGAUAAAAUCCAUGAAGUGAUUCAAAUGAGUGUGGGUUGAAUCCCAUACUCGAAUCUUAUUCCAGGAGUACUCAUGAACAUUGCAACCUCUUUGUCCUAGACAAGCUACAGACCCAUUCAUGACAGUCUUGCCUCAAUACCUACUUCCAAGGUAUGAUCGACCGUCGAUAGUUUGAAUAACCUAGUUAUUCGUGAAGUCAAAACAUGCAAAGUGAAACACAAGAAUAAUACUAAUCCUAUAUGUCCCAAAAACUUUUGAGUCAUAUUGAUUACUCAUUAUUCAUUAUAUAAUGUUUCGAAUAAUCCACUUAAUACUAGAAUUAAAACAAUAGUUGUCCCAUGCUCCAAGCAUGCACACAAUGUUUUCUAAACAAUAGUUAUGCCAUGCACUAUAUGUUUGUCUAUGAACCUUAAUUUGUGAAAUAGAUCAAUUGAAAAACAUUUCAAUGCUGCUCAUUUCAAAUUUUCAAAUCCUUAUUGCAAGUGUAAGAAUUCCAAAUUCUUGUCACCGCUAGAAAGUGUUAGAUUUUAAACUAUCAUGCAAUGAUUCUUUUGUAAUGUCUAAGUGCCAAAAGUCACAGAGACUUGACCAAUGAUAUUACAAAAUAUUCCUUUAGAAAUUGUUACAGGACAAUUCCACGGAAAUGAAGUCUCAAAUUCAAAGUGCGUUCCUUUAAACAUCCUUCUUGCAUAAAAGUUUCCAACUUUUUCAUCUAUUCUUCAACUCCCAUAUGGAAACAUUCCAUGUUUGCCAUACAACAACUCAUUAUUAAUAGACUCAUGUCUAGUCAUAAUAAUGUCAAUAUGGUCCUUCCUUUACUAUACUUCCGACUGUACUUAAGCAACCAAUCCUUGGAAAACCUAAGAUUAUCCUUAACAGUUGUUUAACCACUCUAGUCAUGACCGGUUCUAGUCCUUUUUCCCUCUUAAUGCCCUAAGCAUUUGGAAAAAUUUAGAACACGAGAGUAUUAUAGCAUAUGCAAUCGAUCCUAUUCCCAAAGCAUAUGGGACACGUGUUGGAUUAGAUGUCUAUGCUCAUAAAUAUUAUUGGUAUGUACUCGACCCAAGAGUAGCAUGGUCCAUUUGGGUUGCAUAUGAUCAGGACAAUUUGUUAGGAUAGACUCUUGAGAGAAGGUUAUAUACGAUUUAUUAAUAUAUUAUAAGUUCUAAUAUAUUAAUAUGAAAUCAUAUAUUUUAAUUAGUACUGAUCAAUAAUUAAUUUGGAAUUAAUUUAGUGAUCAAAAGAGACUAAUUAAAUCUAUGGGGACUAAUGAUGGUAAUUAGUUAUAUUAUGUGUUGGGCUUAUGAUCCAUGUUGGACCAAGCUUAUGUAUGGAUAUAUAACCAGUUAGGCCACACAAACAAUGGAUCAUAAAACCCAUGGGUGUGGAUUUGGGUUAUACCCAUGACCCUUGGAAUCCUACAUAUAAAGAGGUGAGUACAUAGCCAAAAACGGGACUGUUGUUCUUGGAGUUCAUAUGGAUGGUUUUUGGUGUAUGAAGAUUCUCUCUUAAAUGUAUACCUUUGUCCAUGAUGUGUUGUGACUUCAUUUGAGGUUUCCACACUAUUGGAGCUAAGCAAUUAAGGCCAAAUAAAUCAAGACUUCAAGCUACAUAAAGUUGUGUUACCCUAACUAGUAUCUUAUAUGGUUUAUGUCAAAUGCAUGCUAGUUAUAGGUUUAAUGCCUUGGAAACGAUUUGCAUGUAUAAUUAGUGAAAACAUAGAUCCUAGGUAUUUAGGGUUGUAUGUGCACCAUAGGAUGUUGUAGUCUACAAAACCCAAGAGUGGUAUUAGAGCCUAGGCUUGUUUUCUUAUAUACUUGAUGCAAAUUGCUUGAAAAUCAAAUUUUUUGGCUCUCUAGACAAUUGACUCUCUGACUCAACUGAUAGACGCGUCAAGUAGUAUGUAUUUUGCCAUGGACUUGCCGAGUCCACUGGUGGACUUGUCGAUUCCAAGUACAGAUCUGACCAACUCAUCGAGUUAGUUCAUGUACUCGACGAGUUGGUGCUCCAGAGUGCAAUUUUUCGACUUUUAAACCUGGAAUUGGACUUGGAACAUUACCCUAAGUUGUUUUUGAACUUAUAAACCUGUUUUUUGAUGUGGUAAUGUUCAUGCUAAUCCAAUUCAAAAGAUAAUUUUCAGAAGUUUCAUGUUUUGUAUUAGUUUAAAUGUUAGGCUAAUUACAUGAAAAUUGUUAGAUUUGAAUUGUCUUGUUCAUAUGAGUUUAAUCUAGAUCAUAGUUUUUCUUGACAUGCUUAUUAGUUGAAUUGAUGAUCUUGGUGUAUUUUAAUGGAUUCCAUAACUUUUCCUCAAGUUAUGGAAAACCAAAAGUUUUUUGUGUUAAAUCUUCAUUAAAGCCAUAGGUUACACAUCUUCAAGAGUCAUUUUCUCAUAAAUAGUUUUAGGAACUCAAUAACUUGUCCUCAAGUUAUGGAUGUUCAAGAGUCUCUUCAUUAAAGUCUUUAAAACCCAUAUUAAACUCAUAUGUUAUGAAAUUUAAAACUUUUUGAAUUGUUCAAAACUUUCCCUCAAGUUUUGUAAUUUGUAAAGUUUCCCCCAUGAAUACUUUAAUUCCAAGUUAAACCCUCAGAAUUCUAAAAGUUAAAAUUUAACCCUUAUACUAUUAUAAUAUUAGUAGUUUACAUUUAUAUAUAUGUACAAGAACAAAGUCAAUCUUACCGUUAGUAGGCCUCAUUCACGAAGUCGGUCUAUAAGGGAGGCAUAAGGUUACUGCCUAUAAAAUUGCAGUUUAGUGGGUGUCCACUCUCACCCACCACUUCCUUGACUGGUGGAGGGUCGGUAGCCGAAUGGGUAGGACAUGACUCUAAUUCUCCCUUCAUUAAAAUUAUAAUGAUAAACCUAAAGUAACUAAACUUUAUUAAUUCCCAAUCUUAGUUACUUUAGGAAAAUGUGAAUUUGGUGCUAACUCAUGAAAUUGCACUUUGCACCCUGUUAAGUUGUUAGUGGAGUGUGUGUGGUUAACCGACACACUAAUAUGGGACUGACAGUGUGUGGCAAAGGUUAGCUUGAUGUUAAUCAUAGAUCAAUGGAGUGUGUGUGGUUAACUGGCACAUUGAUUAGGUGCUUGUAACAUUGGGUGUACCAAGCUAAUUUGCAUGGUUACUCACUCCUUGUUUGUGAUCCUCGGCAUCCCAACGACAAACUUGAACGGCACAAUCGAGAUUCAAACAUGAAAAUGAAAAGUUCAAAGAAUCUCAAAGGAUCUAGGAGUUUCAAUUCACUUAAUACCUAAAAUUCUUUUCGUUUUUCGUGGUGGAAAUUGGUAAAUCGUCAUUUACCUACCUUCAAAUAUUUUGUAGCUUAGAUUACGACAUCCCUCUUCCAAGUUAUAAAAUAUUGUGUUGGGUCCUAGACUUAAUAUUUCAUAUUGGGUGUUAUAUUAAGGACCUAAAUAAACUAAACUUGAAAUUUCUCCCUCAUAGAUGUCUAGUUCAGACAACUAUCGUCUUCCUUGUCCUUUUGGAUAAAGCUUUCCUAAUGAAGUUGAUAUCCCACAUGGCGAUCAAGGUGAGAGAUUAAUCCCUUUGUUUCACAUUAAUGGGACUGGAAAUCAUACUUCACUUCCUCUACCUCCUCCAAUUAUUUUCGCUAACCCACAAGUUCAAGGUCACUUAAGCCCUAUUGGCAAGCAUAUUUUGUAUGUGCUCACAUCUUGGAGAUGAAGUCAUAUAUAGACAGGCCAGGAGAUUUGGGUGUCAAUGUCUUGAGGAGGUUGGUUGUUGAUUAGGUUCUUUAAUAACUUCCUGAGUCACAUAGUGAGUUCUUUAACGACUACUAUGUGACGGACCAUGACAUGAUCCUUAAUGAUCUUACCUAUUUGAUUGAUGUUGCUGAAUCAGCAAUGAUUUGGAGCACUCGUAAAGUAAAUUUUAUUGGAAGAUCUACUUCCCAAACUUCCAUGGAUAUUGACACUGGUAACAUUAGAAGUCCAGAAAAGCUUUUUCUUCUCAAUGGAAAGGUAUCAGCCAUGGUCAAGUCAUUUGACUUAAUGGUAAAGAGAAAGGCUAAGUCUGAGAUAGACUCAUGUACCAUUCCUAAAGAGUCCAUAUGUUUCUUUUGCCAAGAGAAGGUGCAUUGGUUGCGAAGCUGCCCUAUUUACCUGAGAGAUCAUAAGGAUGGUAAAGUCAAAAUGUUUGACUCUACUUCGCAAAAAGUCCACUUCUAACUCAAUUAAAUUCAUUUCGGAGAUUCUUAAUACAUGAUGUAAUGUAAUUACAUUUUGAUGUUUUGGAGAAUCAAAGGAAGCUUAAAAGAAGAGUAAGCUGAUUCAGAUCGUGAAGAUCAAAAUUUUGAGCUGCUGUUGAGAGUUAUGAUAGAUUGCAUAGGAAUAGAUAACAUGUUUUUCAUUUGUAAUUGCAUUGUAAGGAAAAAAUUUUCCACAAAUUUUAUAAAUAAAGAAAAUUUUUGAUUUUAUUAUUUUUAAAUAUUCUUAUAUGGAUUCGUGAAAAAUUGUUGUUUAUAUGAUUCAAUUGAUAGCAAUAUUGGAAGAUGGAUUUGAUUCUUUCAUUUGUGGAAGUGUCAUAAUUUACCAAAUCAGGAAAGAUUCUCAUCACCCAAUUUUCAGUUGGAUAAAAACUUGGAAUCAUGCAACUUAUAUUGUAUGAUGAAUGAGAAUUUUUCAUCUUUGGAAAAUUCAGACUAAUUCCUUGUUCACAUGUUCGUGUGAGUCAAGUGAAGGACUAUAGGAUCAGGUACACUUGGUUGUGCGCUGGUCAGGUCCACCACAAAGAUCGAUCAGGCUAUUCAUCAUGGUUUAAUAAAGUUUGGUGAAUAUGGUUAUACUCACAAGUUUAAGUGUAAUUCUGAAACAUUGGAAAAGUUUCAAUGUAAGGCAGAACGAAUAAGAAGAAUUAAAUUAGGCAGAAAGAUAAAAGUUUCUCCAAUCUGAAAAGAUAGGAGAGUACUUGAGUAUCUUGUUUUAUGAUUAUCAUAGUGAUUAUGAAACUAUAUCACAAUUGAUUCUCUAAGGACAUAUUAGUGCAUUUUUUUGGCUAAGAAGAGGAAUCGUGGAUUGUUGAAAUGGUUAAAAUCAAAAUGAUGAAUCAUACUUCGUUCAAAAACAAGUCUUAGAGUCAUACUCCAAGAUUGUAACUUGAGUGACAUAAUCCGUAGAAGGUUUAUAACACUUGUCAAAUGCAGAGUAAAAUGUUUUCUACUCUUGUACAUUUGAAAUUCGUAAGUUGUGAUGUUUUUAGAUAAAACAAAGACCAACUAAGACCAAUUGACUGAAGUGUUUAUCUUGAUAAGAAUCCACACUAACUCUUGAAUAUUUGUUUUGUCAAGGAAUGUUUCUUGACAAGAGAAUUUUAUAUGUCAAGAGGUCAUUGGGAGUAUUAAAGAUCUUGAAAAUGUUUCAAGAACUAAUCAAGAAUAAAACCUGUUGUUUAUCACUGGCACACGACUUGAGGUUUGUAACCUAUCGUGUUGACAUAUUCUUAUUUAUGUGCCCAUUCUAGUUAAAGUUGAAUAUGCAUCUGAGUUCUACAAGUCCUCAAUUGUUUGCAUAAUAACCUGGAAGCAUUGGUAGGCCCUUAUGGUUCCAAGUGGCAAGAAGUUAAGAUUGCACAAGUUCAGUCCAUAUGAGUUUGGAUUUGUCACUAACCUUAUCUUGUGAUUAUGGUUUUAACAAAUUCACAUGGAUAGGAACACACAAACCAUAAAAUCUAAGUGUCAUAAGGUUUCUCUCCGAUUCACGAAAAUGAUUGUGAGGAAAUGCUUUCACUAACUAGAUUUUUAAUAGUUAGCAAUUGUGAUAUUUGCAUUUCUCAAAUUCAAUUAUGAUUACGGCAUCCCUUUUCAUAGUUUGAAUUGUGAGAUAUGGCAAAAGGUCUAAACAUUAUGAUUACGGCAUCCCUCUUCAUAAUUGUUUAGGCACACAUGUGAGCUAUCUAAGGAAAGGUCUAUGAUUUUGGGAAGCUUAGAUAAAGUUUUAUCGAAGCAUCGCGUAUUAGAAAUAUGAAAUUUGGUAAGAACGUCAAUAAGUAUUGAUUUCUAGAAGUCCAACUGAAUUCUGGAUACAUGUCAAAGCUAGUGGGAGCAUAAGUGCUAUGCUAAUAAUUAUAAUGUUAAUGGGGGCGUGACUAUUAUGUUUAGUAUUGCAAGUUAGAAAUGUUAAUUAUAGAAAACAAAAGGGUUUCAAUUCGUGAAGUUGCGGGGGUUGAAAAGUUGUUUGCUAUAAUUAAGGGAGAGGAAAUUAUACUUCAUUCCAAUUCUAAAAGAUUAGAUUGUGAGUUUUUAAUAAAAUUUAGUCAUAAUUACGUUAUUCGCGUUCUAAAAUUCGAUUAUGAUUAUGGCAUCCCUUUUCAUAAUCUGAAUUAUGAGAACAUGGCAAAUAGAAAUAGAAAUAUUAUAGCAAAAGACUAGUCUAGUAUCAUUUAUUUAUGUGAGAUGUCAUGAAUCGUGUCCCGUAUGCUUCGGAUAUAGGAUCGAUUACAAGUGAUGUAAUAUUCAUUUGUUCUAAAUUUUUCCAAAUGCCUAGGACAUUAAGAGGGAAAAAGUACUAAAAAUGGAUACGACUAAAAUGAUUAAGUAAUUGUCGAGGACAAUCUGAGGUUUAGCAAAGAUUGGUUGCUAAUGGACAUUUGGAAGUAUAGUGUAAUUUUGGAAGGACCAUAUUGUUGAGUUUUGAGCAUUCUGACACUUCCUAAGUGUAAAUGCUUCACACAACACCAAAUGCAAAGAAUAAACUUGAGAGAAUACUCUAACACAUGCAAAAUCCGCCAACCCCUCUUAUUUCUUAGUGUAGCCGAUUUUGGGGAGAGUUACAUUACUUAUAUAGUGUGUUACAUUAGGUAAACCCUAAUGUUCCAUGACUCUUCAUUUCUUGAUCCAUGGGUUAACUCCAUGGAGCAUCCUAUGGGUGGAACCCAACUUGACAAUCCAUGGAGCCUCUUAGCCCACUAUAUAAGAUAUGGAAGAUUUACAUAAUCUACCCAUAUAUCUAAUUAGUUAUCUUUUGAUCACUUAAUUAAUUCUUGAUCAAAACUAAUUAAAUAAUAUUAUUCAUUUAUUAGAACUUAUAAUAUAUUAAUAAACCAUAUGUGUUAUUUCUCUCAUAUAGUUUAUUCAAUUGCAUGGUGCCAUGCAACCCAAAUGGACCAUGCCGGGUCAGGUCAAGUAUUUACCAGAAAUAGUUAUGGACUUAGACACCUUAUCCAACAGUCUCCCACUUGGAUAAGUCUAACCGGGCCCGGAACAUAAUUGAACACAUCAACUUAGUUCUGACCGGGCCCGGAACAUAGGUCAAAACAAAAUCAUCGAGGGGCCCAGAUAUCAGCUUAUAAUCCAACAAGGAACAGAUAAACUUCGACUCAUAUGUUUGUUCUACUACUAGUUGAAUUAUACAUAGAAGCACGUUUUAUAACAUCGAUUUACCAAUGCGUUUUCGUACAAUCAAUGCAUAAUCAAUUCAUAGGAAACAAAUCAUAUCUCUAGGUUUGAACACUUAUAUGAUAUUACCGUCUCACGAUCACUCGAGAUAAAAUUCCAUAAAGUGAUUCCAGUGAGCGUGGGAUGAUUCCAAUACUCAGAACUUAUGAGCACUCAUGAAGUGUUGUCUUAUAUCCAGACACCUAAAACCAACUUCACGACAAUCUUACUUCAUAUCUACUUCCAACAUAUGACUGACUGUAGAAAGUUUGAAUAAUAUGUGAAACCACAACAUACUAUUCUGGAAGUCAAAACAUGCAAAAGAAAUUAUAGUAAAUGAUUAACAAAAGAUAGUAACACUUUACUCAUAAAUAAACACAACUUUUAUUCAUCAUCAAAUGUCAAUUACACUUUACAAAUUUCAUGAUUUAUCUAACUACUAAAACUUAUAUUAUCCUUCAGCCCUAUGCUCCGAGCAUGCUGGAGAUGCUUAACCCUACUCAGUCCCUUCGUGAGGGGAUCUGCUGGGUUCUCAUCCGAUGAUACCCUCUUUGCCACGAGGAGUCCUUCUUCUAUGCGAUGUCUGAUAAAAUGAUAUUUUCUGUCGAUGUGUCUGGAUCUCCCGUGAUCCCUUGGUUCCUUGGCUAAGGCAACAACACUUUCACUGUCACAGAAAAUUUCCAUGGGCUCCUUUAUAGCCGGUACAACUCUAAGGUCUCCAAUGAAGUUCUUUAGACAUAUUGCCUCCUUUGCUGCCUCGCUCGCUACUAUAUACUCUGAUUCACUAGUGGAUCAGCCACUGUCUCCUGCUUGGAACUCUUCCAAGUGAUUGCUCCUCCGUUUAAGGUAAAGACCCAGCCCGACUGAGAGCGGAAAUUAUCCCUAUCAGUCUGGAAGCUAGCAUCACUAUACCCUACAACUCUCAAGUCAUCACUCCCACCGAGGGUAAGGACCCAGUCCUUAGUCCUCCGUAGGUACUUGAGGAUAUUCUUUACCGCAGUCCAGUGUGCCUUGCCAGGGUUCCCCUGAUACCUGCUAACCAUGCUCAAGGAAAAAGCUACAGCAGGUCGAGUACACGUCAUAGCAUACAUGAUCGAACCUACUGCCAAAGCAUAAGGCACUCGACUCAUUUCUGCUAUCUCAUCCUCAAUACUCGGGCUUUGUGUCUUACUCAAUCUGGCGUUACUCUGGAUGGGUAACUCUCCUUUCUUGGAGUUCUGCAUGCUGAAUCUCUUCAACACUUUGUCCAAGUAGGUACUUUGACUAAGUCUAAUUCGUCUUUUACUCCGGUUUCUCAAAAUCCUUAUCCCUGGAAUAUAGGCAGCUUCUCCUAGGUCCUUCAUAGAGAAACACUUGCCAAGCCAGGACUUAACUUCCUGCAGAGUUGGGAUGUCAUUUCCUAUGAGUAGUAUGUCAUCCACAUACAAUACCAAAAAGCUAACUAUACUCCCACUAGCCUUGACAUACACACAAGAUUCAUCUUCACUCCUAGAAAAGCCAAAUUCCUUGACCUUUUCAUCAAAGCAAAGAUUCCAUCUGCGAGGUGCUUGCUUCAAUCCAUAAAUGGAUUUCUCAAGCUUACACACUCUAUUAGGGUACUCGUUGCUGACAAAACCCUCUGGCUGACUCAUGUAAACAUCUUCAGCCAACUUUCCAUUAAGGAAAGCGGUUUUGACAUCCAUCUGCCAUAUUUCAUAGUCAUGAAAUGCAGCUAUGGCUAACAGAACCCGAAUAGACUUAAUCUUGGCUACCGGAGAAAAGGUCUCAUCAUAAUCCACUCCAGGAAUUUGAGAGAAGCCCUUUGCAACCAGUCUAGCCUUAUAAGUGUGUACUUUACCAUCCAUGUCGGUCUUCUUCUUGAAGACCCAUUUGCACCCUACUGUCUUACGACCUGGUACAUUUUCAACCAAGUUCCAAACUUGAUUGUCAUACAUGGAUUGUAUCUCGCUAUCCAUAGCCUCUUUCCAUUUAGCAGACUCGGGGCCUGCCAUGGCUUCCUCGUAGCUGUUAGGGUCAUCUUGACUUACUAGUGUCUCAUCACUAAUAAGUGUCUCACCUUCUGCAGUAAUAUGGAAUCCAUAGUAAUGCUCAGGUGCACUCCUAACUCUCGUGGAACGUCUCAGAGGUACAGAUUUGUCAAUUGGCUCAACAGGAGUUUCCUCCUCAAGUUGAGGGCUAGAGUUUGAAGUUCCUUCACCGCUUGAUUCUUGAAUUUCUUCAAGAUCAAUUUGCCUCCCACUGUCUCCUUGGCUUAUAAACUCUCUUUCUCGAAAGACUCCUCUUCUUGCUACAAAGACCACAUUGUCACUAGGUCUGUAGAAGAGGUAACCAAAGGAUCGCUGUGGGUAACCGAUGAAAAUACACCUCUCGCUUCGAGGUUCGAGCUUAUCAUGAGUCUCGCGUCUCACGAAAGCCUCGCAACCCCAAAUCUUGAUGUGGUCUAGUUUAGGUACUUUACCAGUCCACAUCUCGUGAGGAGUUUUGGCAACUUUCUUUGUAGGGACUAGAUUAAGGAUAUGGGCGGCAGUCUCUAAGGCAUACCCCCAGAAUGAGAUUGGUAGCGAAGCUCGACUCAUCAUGGAACGAACCAUAUCCAACAAGGUUCGAUUACGCCUCUCAGCCACACCAUUCAACUGUGGUGUCCUGGGAGGUGUCAAUUGUGAGACUAUCCCACAUUCCCUUAGAUAGUCGAGGAACUCUGAACUAAGAUACUCACCACCACGAUCGGAUCGAAGCAUCUUAAUGUUCCUGCCCAAUUGAUUCUCGACUUCCUGUUUAAAUUCCUUAAACCUUUCGAAAGUCUCUGACUUAUGCUUGAUCAAGUAGACAUAUCCAUAUCUACUGUAAUCAUCAGUAAAAGUCAAAUAAUAACGAUUAGCAUCCCUUGUGGCAUGUUUGAAUGGUCCACACACAUCCGUGUGUACAAGGUCCAACAAACCUUCACCCCUCUCACACGAACCUGUGAAGGGUGACUUUGUCAUUUUUCCAAGUAAGCAUGAUUCGCAACUAUCAUCUGACUUUAGGUCAAAUGACUCCAAGACUCCAUCCUUUUGGAGUUGGCCUAUGCGUUUCUUGCUUAUAUGUCCAAGACGACAAUGCCAUAAUGAUGCUUUAUCCAAGUUAUUAUUAUUAACAGAAUCAAUACACAAUACAUUAUUUCCUAAGUUAUCAACCACAGAUACAGUUUCAUACACGCCAUCACAAGGUAAUGCUUUAAAAUAAAGAACAUUAUUAAAGAAAGCAUUAAUCGAACCAACUUCAUUAUCAAAUGAAAAGGUGAAACCUUGUUUAUACAAUGCAUGAAAGGAAAUAAUAUUUCUUGCCAUUUCUGGCGAAUAACAACAUUUAUUCAAAUCUAAACUAAACCCACUACUUAGCGAUAAAGUAUAAACUCCAAUCUUGGUGACAGGUGAAGCUUUCCUGUUUCCCAUGAUCAAGUUUAUUCUUCCUUGCUCCACAUUCUCACUUCUUCUUAGUCCCUGCAAAUCAGAACAGAUAUGAAUACCACAACCGGUAUCAAGGACCCAUGAGUUAGAAUGGGGUGAGUUAUUAGAUAAGAUAGUGUAAAUACCUGCAUGGUUGGGUUUAACUUUCCCAUCCUUCACAUCUUGCUGGUACUUUGGGCAGUUCCGCUUCCAAUGUGCCUUUUCAUGGCAAUAGAAGCAUUCAGCCUCUUUUGGGUCAGAAGAAGGAGUGAUGAAACCUUUCUUGGUUCCACUUGAAGAAGAGCCAUCAAGGGUCCUAACCUUGGUACCCUUCGAAGAACUCUUUCUCUUCUUCCCUCGUCCUUUCCCGAUUGCCAAGACAGGGGCGGAGUUGGUAGGAGUAGGAGUAGUAACAACCACCUUACCCUUAAGACCACUUUCUGCGGUCUUUAAGAGUCCUUGAAGUUUUCUGAGAGUGACCUCUUCCUUGUUCAUGUGGUAUGUCAUGCAGAAUUGAUCAUAACAUGAAGGAAAGGAGUGCAAAAUAAUAUCUAUAGCUAGCUCCUUGGGGAAGUUCACAUUAAGCUUCAGCAAGCGGUCCACAAAUCUUUGCAUUUUCUGCAUGUGGCCCGUGAUGGGUUCUCCAUCCUUCAUUCGGGUUGUUAUCAUGGAGGAGAUGAUUUCAUACCUCUCUUGUCGUGCACUUUGAUGGUAUCUUUCCAUCAAAUCUUGGUGCAUUUCAAAAGGGUAGUAGUCCUCGUAGGACUUUUGGAGGUCGGCUGUCAUAGUGGCCAUCAUGAUGCAUGCCACCUUGGUGGCAUCCCUUUCAUGUGCCCUAAAGUCAGCGAUCUCUUGAGGAGUAGCAACUGUCUCAUCAAUCUCCUUAAGCUCCUUAUCGAGGACAUAUUCUUUGUCCUCGUAGCGGGUAAUCAUUCGGAUGUUUCUGAUCCAUUCAUUAAAGUUGGAUCCAUCAAAAGUGACUUUCCCACACAAGUUCAUUAGAGAAAAGGAGCCAUUAGGAUUAGAGCCAGAAGCAGCAGUGUUUGCAGACAUCUGAAAAGAAGAAAAGUUUAGUUUAGAAAUAGAGAUAGUCCUUAAUAAAACACCCAAAUGUAGUAUUAAGGCUAGGACCCAAUCACAAUAUAUUAUACUUAGAAGAGGUAUGCCGUAAUCUAAGUAAUAACAUAUUUGAAAGGUAGGUGAAUGACGAUUCACCAAUUUCCACCAAAGUCGAAAUAUUAAAAAUAUUUAAUUUGGUUCUUAGAAACUCCUAGAUUCUUUUGAGAUUCAAUGAACUUUUCAAAGGCAUGUUUCAAUCUCGAGUGUGCCCUCCAAGUUUUGUGACUGGGAUGCCGAGGAUCACAAAACGAGGUGUGAAGUAACCAUGCAAAUUACUUGGUACCCUUAAUGUAUUACCCCUCAAUCGAUGUGCCGGUUAACCACACACGCUCCAUCGAUACUAUGAUAAAUAUUAAGUCACCCUUUACCUACCUUGUUAAGUCCAAGUUAGUGUGCCGGCUAACCACACACGCUCCACUAACGACUUAGACAAAGUGUAAAGUGCAAUUUCAUGGAUUAGCACCUUAUUC
rnacentral:lncRNA from 1 species